GAUCACCGCUCCCGUCACUCCCGCCCCCGUCACUGCCCCCGCCGCAGCUCCACCAACUCCCGCUCCCAAGCCCAAGGCCAAGGCCCCUGCUGCAGCACCACCCGCCAAGGCCACCGCCCCCGCUCCAGCAGCGCUCCCUCCCACCGUCGAAGCACCCGCGGCAGCCGCGCCAACGCUCGUCCCCGAGGUGCCUGCCGCCGCGCCGGCCCCGCUGACCAAGCCGACCGACGCCCCCGCUCCGGCGCCGUCCAAGAAGAAGCGCUCGUCCAAGGACAAGAAGAAGACGAAGGCGCCCGCGCCCGCCCCGGUCGCCGCGGCCCCCGUCAAGGCCAAGGCCGUGGCGCCCACCACCGCCGUGGCCGCCGCGGCUCCCGGUCCCAGCGGCGACUCCACCGCCGCCGACACCGCGGUACGUCCUACGCUCACUCACUAUCUUAACAAACAAGAUUAGGAGUACGUGCAGAUGUAUCUGAUCACUGGAUUCGGGGUCCAAUCCAUGCACACUCCAUUAAGCAAAUCUACGAGGCUGCCACCCAGACGGCAUGGCCAUGGCGGCCAGUGUGUCGGCGUGCACUGUCGGGUCAGCCCGACACGCACGUGCUCCUGACUGGCUAAUUAACUUGCCUGACAUUAUUAGUUGGGGCAUUAACUUGCCUGACAUGAGAAUUUAAUCAAUCAAAUCACACCGUUGACACCAGCAUGGAGGACUGUCCCUGCUGGCUGCUGCAUGGACCAUGCACAUUAUUGUUUACUUCAUCGUCGGCGCGCAUUUUUGCAACCAAGCUAACGUGUGCAUCGUGUCGAUGGUUGUCUUGCAGAGCGCCCCGGGGAGGAGCACCGGGAUGGCGGCGGCCGUGAUCGUGGCGGCGCUCGGCGCGGCGGCGAUGCUCGCCUAGGCCGACGAUCCCCGUCGAUCGGGCCGUGAUAAUGCGCCGGCCAUGUCACCCUUUUUUUCUCUUUUCGUUUUGUGUAUGUAAUUAUUUACGAGGGGUGAUGGACUUUGGGUCCUUUUCUUUCCUGUGUGGAGUAGAGCUCACAUUGUCGGGAUUCUUUUGCUUUGCUUUGCUUUGUGUUGAGAGGGAGGGGAGAGGAGUCACGGUGUCACAGAUGAUACGUACGAGAGACAGAUGAGAGGGAGAGGGGACGCUGCCUGUGUAUUAUUGUUAAUUUUAUUCAUAUUUAUAACAAUAUUUAUAUCACAGUUACCAUUACGUUUUCAUCGCUGUCAUUGUUACAGUUGUUGGUACCUUCACAUGGCUGUGAAGCAGAAACAUUCUUUUGGUUUUGGCUAGACAUGGCAUGGCAUAUGCCAUCUUUCGGUUUUUCAUCUUUUGCCUGUUGAUUGGGGAAGAAAGGGAAAGCUGGGUUCAUGCCUUUUGCCAUGAUUAGGCACGGCCAACCAUCAACUAACCACAAGGUCACAAACUGAAAGCUCAUGCAAAUAUUUUAAUUAAAAGAAAAUUACAACGGGCAGGUAGCUAGUUAACUGUCUGUGUUAGCUUACCUGACCACAAUCACCGUACCGCCGAAAUGGGGCUGUCAGGGCAACAAACUCUUGUCUGCAUGCAUUCGCGUGCAUGAUAGCGAAUUCUUACCGCACGGACGGUGGCGUCAACGAUUCCCUUAGACAAAAAUCUAAUACACAGAGUAAAAAGAAUCGGAGGGAGUACUUUACAACACAACUAAUCCAUCUCCCUCUAACUUCUAUUCUGAACCUUCACGUUAGUUAGAGCAUCUUCAACAGCCGCGCUUAAUAUAGCGCGCACGUGGGAAACAUCACUUUUAGCGUGCGCACCCGAGCCUCAACCGCACACUCGAGCACCGCCACCCCCUUCUCCCCACACCGCCCUCUUCUUCCUCGCACCCGGCGCCCCGCCGCACCGCCUUCUCCCGAAGCUUUCUCCCCCGCGGCCAACAUGCCUCCGCGCCGCCGAAGCACCUCCGGCUACCAUGGUGCCCGUGUCUGCCCUUCCGACGCGUUCUAUGCAGAGAUCCACUCUGGUGGCGCGCGUCCCGUUCUUGGGACGUUCGAGACCGCGCACGAGGCAGCCUGCGCGUACGACGCGGCAGCGUGGUGCCUCUCGAGGCCUCGCACACAGAUGAACUUUCAGGACGUCUGGAAGAACUCGCCCCUCCUACGCGGCUAGUAACCGGCGCCGACUGUCAGGAACACCGUCGGCAGCAGCACCGCUCCUCAUCACCGAGGCGGACGAGUGAACCAUGAUGGAGUCGCGCCAGCGCCAUCCGGAGGACGUCGCCAACGAGAACGCCUUCUGGGCGGAGAGGAGGGCAAGGCGGCGCGUGGAACGGGCGGAUAGGAGUCGUCAGAAGGCACUGGCGAUAUCGCAGUGCAAUCUGGGACAUGCAUCAUUCUUCUCCGACAACAACUUUCAGUGGGAAGACGUGUUUCUUGAUACGUCAGAUGACACAAGCAGGGAGGAGGAGGACGACUCGGAGUAGUCACCGUAGUUUUGUAGUUAAAAUAUUUGUAUCAGACUAGUUUGUGCUGUUGGGUUGAACUUUGCUAUUUGUAUCGUUGAAUAUGUCUAUUUGGUUGAACUACUUUGUGUUCUGGUUGCUCACGCGCGCCAUUUCUUUUCAGCUUCUGUUUGAGCGGGUCGCGUGCAUAAUUUUUUUGCAGCCGCUGCUGGAGCCAGCGCCCCGUUGCGUGCAAGGAACUGCUAUUUUCGCGCGCAGAAAACUGUUUUAGCGCACCGCUCGUUGCGCGGUCAAGGCCCCAGCCACCCCUGUGCCCACGGCCGUGCUGAUCACCUCUCCCGUCACUCCCGCCCCAGUCACUGCCCCCACCGCGGCUCCACCCAAUCCCGCUCCCAAGCUCAAGGCCAAGGCCCCUACCGCCGCGCCACCAGCCAAGGCCACCGCACCUGCCCCCGCGGCACUCCCUCCCAUCGCAGAUGCACCCACGGCUGCCGCGCCAACGCUCGUCCCCGAGGUGCCUGCCUCCGCGCCGGCCCCGUUGACCAAGCCCACCGACGCCCCCGCGCCGGCCCCAUUGACCAAGCCCACCGACGUCCCCGCGCCGGCGCCGUCCAAGAAGAAGCGCUCGUCGAAGGACAAGAAGAAGACGAAGGCGCCCGCGCCCGCCCCGGUCGCCGCGGCCCCCGUCAAGGCCAAGGCCGUGGCGCCCACCACCGCCGCGGCUCCCGGUCCCAGCGGCGACUCCACCGCCGCCGACACCGCGCUACGUCCUAUGCUCACUCACUAACUUGCCAACCGUUGCUGCCAUGCCAGUUGGCGCAUCUUAUCAACCGUAGUUAGGCUGGUCGUAGUGGUAGUAUCAUAUCUAGUUGAUGUACCUAGUCUGCUUGCCAAAUACAUAGGUACAUAACAUAACUAGGUACAUCGAUGGUUAGACCAUAUCAUAACUAGGUACAUCAAUUUAUCAACCGUAGUUAGGCUGGUCGUAGUGGUAGUAUCAUAACUAGUUGUAGUCUGCUUGCCAAAUACGUAGGUACAUCAGUUAGCAACAGAUGGCUAAAUGAAUGAGCUUCACAAGUACAAAUUCAUUACAAACCAAAGCACUAACUGGAGAGUAUGAUUGAUCAUAGACAAUAAGGUGAGGCCAUCCAUGAAUAGCAAAAUGGAACACUGCAUUAUAAGUAACAGGGCAUAUGAAAAGCGAUGCUAAGAUAGAAGAGGCCUUUCCAUCCAACACGCGAUGAAGACCAGUAAUUAACAUUUACUUUCUGGAUUGGAGGAUGAUUCUUGAACUGAAGAUGAAAAAACAGAGGAGCAUUGACGAUAGAAGUACCGAUACAAUUUUUGAAGCUUGUAUUUACGUGUAAAAACCAAUUAGCAUGAGUGAGCGGUUAUAGGAUGCAGCUCAUCAAUCAUGUACAUUGUUGUUUUCUUACCGAACAAACAUCAAGUGGAAAAACUACAAACAAGUCACUGUCGUGGCACAUCAUCAUUCUUGGAACUGGAAAUAAAGAAAGGUCUAAAUUGGCAGUAAUAUGGCAUGAAACAGAAUUAAAUAGUACUCAAGUCCAGCAGAUUAUAUAGCUUACACUAAGCGGAAAAAUACACUCAACUGGGGUCAUACUUUCUACUCCAUAACGCUUAGAACCGAGGGGAGUUAACAAAUCAGUAAUAGUAAAUACACUCAAAAUUACAAUUUGUUAUUAUCUUCGUUGAACGACCAAAAUUAGCAACACAAUCAGAGGGCCGUAUAGGCCUCUACGUUUAAUAACAGAAAAGGUAGGGUCCAUGUAGGCAUCUACGUUUAAUAACAGAAAAGGUAGACAUUAAAUAUACAGAAUCAUGAGAAUGUAUGUUCUUACAUUGAAAAGAUGUUCAUCGCCGUCAUUGGAAGGAGGCACAAAGAGACACCUAAUUUUCAGAUGUAUAACAGUAUAAGCACAUUUUACACUCACUAUGACAUAAGCAGAAAUGGACCACACUAUAGUCUGUUUACUACAUGUUCUCAGUCCAUCUACUAUAGUCCAGUUAAUUACUGCAUGCUCAUUUCCUCUACAUGUGAAUAUAUAUGUAACAUCGAGAACAUGAUAUAUAUCUUGGGGUCUGGGAUAACACAUCUAUAUCCUAGGUAGACAUCCAGGUCUCCUAUAAAAUUAGGAACAAUAAAAGCAUAAAAUACCAAGAUUACUAUGAUUUUGUUUAACUCGAGGCAUCAAAUGUUCACGCAAAAGAUAAGAUCAUAAUAAAAAGGACCAACAUAUUUCCAAUAGAACUCACCUUCUAAUUUUUUUGGGGAUUCUUUUGGUACACAACAUAAGCCUUCAAACAUUUGAGCACAUGGUAUAUCUUGAAAACUACAGCACCUUGUGCAAACCAACCAGCACAAAAGACACAAUGCAUUUUCUUUUUUUUCAGAAACACCACUUUUGGCAACAGAAAACAAAUUAUAGUGGAAAUAAAUAAGAACACAUUGGCAUUCUUUGGGUUCUUGACAUGGUAGCAAGGAAAAAGCACAUGCUUGACCAGGCAAAUUAGAAUUGGCGAGAUACUAAGAAGCACAACACAAACUGAUCAGCAGUAUAAUCUUAUUGGCAUCACCCAAGUAGUACGCAUGUAUACCAUUGCAAAGUUAUUGGCAUCCUAAACUGCAGUUGACGCAUACACCAAGUCACACAUACAGAACUGCAAGUGUAUUUUCUUUUCAUAGAUAAACAAACUUAACUAUCUCAGCAAGUACCAAAACAUAAAUGAUCUCACUAUCUUUAUCAAGUCAUACCAAAUAAAAUUCAAUAUCAAAACUAAAUCACAGUCAAUAGAUCUGGAGUAUUCUCUCUGAAAAGGGCGUUCUACUGGACCACGAGACUUUCACAACAGUAAAACUAUAGCAGCUACUGUCAACCGAGCAGUAUUUUUAUAUACAGCCCAAAGAACAGUAAGAUUCACUCACAUAAACCCUAGAUCAACACUAAAGAAAUAUGGAAUCUAUAAGCUGCCGAUAGCUUGUGUUUACCUUGUUCAUUGGUGGCACCAUGGACUGGAUUUUCCUUGUUCCUAUCGCCGCCGCGGUAGAGAAGAGCUCCCUCCAUGUGCUCUUGGUCCAGUGCUCCAAAUAGAAAGGGAUAAACAACAUGUGAAAAAAUAUUCCCAAUAAGGAGCAAAUAAGGGAGAUUUGUUGCAAGUAGAUCAUGGGCUCACAUUUUUGGAAGUUUACUCGGUGUAAUGAACGUUGGGCAGAACAUACCAAUAGUUCAAAUGUGACCCAGAACAAAUAGUUCAAUCAGAAUGGUCCAUGUCCAUGUGCUGGCAUAUAGCGCAGACACUGGCACAUGAAUGAAUCAUCUGACUCUGUUCAGUGAUUAUUUGCCACACUUUCUCAUUAGUCAUUACUAACACAACCUAAACAUCAGAUGUAGAGAUGAUGUUGCCAGUGCAAGAAAAAAGCCAACCAAAUUCGCAUCUGUCCUGCAAUAGUGUUAUAAAAUACACAUAUUUGUCCUGCUAACAACAAUAAGCAAUAACUGAAAAAAUGCAAUUCUUUAAGGGGAACUAUGCAAUGCAAAUUUAAUGGACUGAUUAACAUUUAUAGUAUGCUAAAUCAUGCAACAAUAGUUACGGGACAAUACUCUGCUCCAUAAGAUGAUGACACUAAUGUUUUUCUUAUGUUUCUCCCCAUGAAGAAGAAGAGAAAGAAGAAGAAGAAGACACCUCUCACUCUCUUGCUUACGAGCUCCUUGGAAGAAUCAUUGAAGAGCCCGAGAAGCUCGUCGACGGCAUGGUAAACUGGUGGUGCAGCACCGAGCAGGGGCGGUGGUGGCAGCUAGACCACCUCGAGCACCACGGCCCGAAAGCCAAGAGCAUGAGCAGACAAAAUCAAAAUGGAUUAACCAGCAAACCCUAGACAGAUUCCUAAAAAACAGCAAAGCCAUUCAACCGACAAAUUGCUGCGAGCGAGCCUUUCUAGCAUAACAAAGUGCAACUUACUCUUAACCAGAUUAAAUCAAGAACCAACAAACAAUAAAAGAUCAAGAACAACUCAUAUGCAAUAAAGAUAUGACAGAGAAGAAAUCUUUACAUAAGAUGGCUAUAAACACUGGAGCAUAAAUAAGCAACACCUUUAAAUACAAAUAAAAAGGGUUAAGGGAUCAUUGCAUAGUGGGCUCAGAUUCGCCUUUCGUUGAUCAUAUAAUCUACCCCCGUCAUCUCUUAUCAUCAGAUCAAUAUGUUUAUACAAUGGAGCUGCCCUGGUUAUCACUCAACAAGAAUGACCAUCCAAGGACAGAUCAAUAGGUAUCAGAGGAUCAAAAAGGAUUCUAGAGACAAGAGGGAGGAUCCAAUUUGAUACCCACAGGUUAAUCAUCAUUGCCCUAGCACGAAGGCCAUUGAUCAAUUUAGCAAAUCCAGGAGCAUAGCUAUAGGAACAGGGCACCCAAAUGUAAAGAAGGGCACCACAAGAGCUCCUACGAUAGCAACUGAACAUGAACAAUAGCCUGCAAACCCCUAGAAUAGCAUGGAUCCACCACUACAAAGCUCAAGCUGACGGACGCGUCCCACCCGCCGGGACCCCACAGGUCAGCGAGGUCCGGUCAGAUGGAAGGAGUAACCGACGCGCGAGUCAGGCGGGAUCAAACAUGCUACAGGGGGGGAUUGGAUCGGACAGACAAGAUCUGCCGGCGGCUCGAUCCGACGGCCUAGAACACAUCAAGCAACUCGAUCGGACGACCAGGAGGCCCAAAUCGCUGAGAACGCUUAGGUUUCGAGCGGUCUCAUUUUUCUGGAUGGAAGUGGGCUCAGAUUCGGCUUUCCUCGAUCAUAUAACCUACGCCCGUCAUCUCUAAUCGCCAGAUCAAUCUGUUCAUACAGUGGAGCUACCCUGGUUAUCACUCAACAAAAAUGACCAUCCAAGGGCAGAACAACAAGUAUCACAUGAUCAAAAAGGAUUCUAGAGACAAGAGGGAGGAUCCAACUUGAUACCCACAGGUACCUCGAUUGCUCAAAGGCACACUUAUUUCAGCCGUUAAUCAUCAUCGUCCUAGCACGCAUGCCACUUAUCAAUUUAGCAAAUCCAGGAGCAUGGCUAUACGACCAGGGCAUCCACAUGUAAACCAGAUCAUCACAGGAGCUCCUAUGAUAGCAACUCAACAAGUACAGCAGCCUGCAAACCCUAGAAUAGCAUGCAUCCACAACUACAGAGCUCAAGUAGGGACCAAUGCAUGAGUAGGGCAUAGAGCAUCAACCAGACGAGCACCACAUCAAUAUAGCCAUGGCCAUGUCCAAUACAGUAGCCAAAGCAGAUGAGCAGGAGGAAGAUGGAGCACACUGUGGGAGGUUGUAGCCGAGGCAGUACUCAGUGGGCACCGGGGUUGCGCCUGAAUGCCCGUCUUGCCAAUGCCCACCCGCCCACACUCGGUCCUCUUGCCAGGGACACUACAUAGCAGGAAAACAUAAACUUGAUCACACAAAUCUUAAUCAAGUUUCUUCUUGGAAAAUAAAGGAGCAUAUUCGUAACACACGGAGAUGGGACAAUGACAAUCUCGAUCAGAGGAGGUAGUGACGACAGCAACAUACAUGAGCAUAGUAAUAUGGUAAAAAAGGUAGUUUGUUGUAUUAUGAUAUGACAAGUUGACAAUAAUGGGAUUGUGUAGCUUAAGAGCAUCAGAAGACACUUUUAUAGAAUAUAAGAAAUAAACAAUAAAUAUUAUCUAAUUUGUUGGUAACUGAACCAUCCAAUGCAGCAUAACAACCCAACUAAGUGUUGCGAUAGUGGAGGUGUCCACAACCCAACUAACUACAAUAACCUAGGCGAGGCCGAUCUUUUGCCCUACACAUCUUAGUAUACAAUAACCUAGCAGAAGACAAUCCAGUAUCAAGUCAAUGCCUUCCAUAACUAUCCUAUCGAAAGAAAAGAAUACAAGGCCCAAGAGUAUUGCACUACCAAAAGCGAUUGCAAGAACAAAGCUUGAACCCUUCCUGGAUCCAGCGGGGGUUGCAAGAACAAUAGCAAUGCUGCUAGCCUGAGCAGAUUUGGCAACCGAUGCAACAGAUUCACCAGCGUAGAUGCCAAACGGUUUAAGUGACACCUUGCUUGUUUAAUUAGUGAGCCACUAAUUAUUCAGUUAACUGAGAAGUAGACACACACAAUCGGCUUAAACCCUUUAAACAAACCUAGGCGUCACUUAGUCAGAUCAAAACAACCAGAACCAAAUGCACAAAAAACCUGAAGUAGAUAAUAAUAUAGUUAAUCUGCCAGGACCUAACACCAGAGCCUGACAAUCUUGAUAUGCCACAUGUUUGGACACCUUCAUAUCAUCUAGUAUAAUAUGCAGUCCAUAAGGGCUUCAGUUUGUAACAAAAAAAUCGGCACUACGCGGUGAACUAAAUAUCUAAAUGAAUAUAAAGAAAGUAGAUGCCUUCAUCUCCCACAAAAUCCAUCUAUUCAUCCAAAAAAUAUGAAUCCAUCUAAUUAUCAUAUGGCCCACGUGUGAGGCCUGAACCCCCACCUCAACAACAAAGACAUACUUUAUUACAAAAAAAUGUAGCUAGAUCCAAUGCCCCCCUGGAUAACAUGGUACCAACAAAACAAGACAGAUCCAAAACCCAUUCCUCUAACUUUGCCUUAGUCUCUCUGCAGGUCCAUUUAUUUAUCCAGAAACACCAAACAAAACAGGCACACUAAAACAGUAAAGCAUCUCAUGGUGUACUCCUCACUAUCAUACAACCCCGACAAACUUGCGGGCCUAAACCUCUCCACAACAACAAAGGCACGUUUCAUUAAGAACGUACCUAGAUCCAAUGCUCUCACUACAAAAAAAUACACUUCCGUGAUGAUACGUGUUUGUCACAGUAGGUCGCUUUUUUGUCAUGCAUGUACAUCCAUGACAAAUUUAUGACAGAAUCAAGAUAGUCAUACCUGUGCUGUCGUAGAAGUGUUCCAUGACAUUACCAAAAUUAUCAUCACGGAAGUGUCCACUUCCAUGAUGAUAAAUCGCGCAUCACAGAAGUGCUUUUGUCAAGGGUGACCGACACAUGGCAUCCACCGUAACGGAAUGCCGUUAAGCUAUCGGGUCGGGUUUUGGAUCCGAUAACCCGUUAACAGCCCCGACCAAUGAGGAUUUUCCACGUGUAAAAUCAUCAUUGGCUGGAGGAGACACGUGUCAGGUCCGCGCUGGCACAGGUGUCACUCAUCCAAUGGGCGAGACGCGCCUAUGAUAUGUUGACACGUGGGCAGGCUCAUUAAGUUUAAAUGGACCGACCCAACUAAAGGCCCACAAGAUUUUGUGGACCAUAAUGGGCCGGCCCAGCUAAAGGCCCACGAGAUUUUGGGGACCAUAAUGGGCUGGCCCAGCUAACGGCCCACAAGAUUUUGCGGGCCAUAAUGGGCUAGCCCAGAUAAAGGCCAACAAGAUUUUUGUGUGCCAUAAUGGGUCGGCCCAGGUAAAGGCCCACAAGAUUCUUGCGGAUCAUAAUGGGCCGGCCCGGCUAAAGGCCCACGAGAUUUCGCCAACAUUAAUGGGCCGGCCCAGCUGUAGGCCCACAAGAAUUUGAGGACCCUAGUAGGCCAGCCCAUUAACUGGCUGCCAUGUUUUGGGCCAAAUGCCAGCCCAUAUUUGAUCCGGUCCAUUAAUGGCCUGUCAUGUUCCGGGCCUAAUAGUGGCCCAUAUGAGAUCCAUCCCGUUAAAAACCUACCAUGUUCUGGGCCAAAUUAUGGCCCAGAUCAGGUACGACCCUUUAAGAGGCUAUGGGCUCAAUUAUGGCCCAUAACAGAUUCGGCCCGUCAACUGGACACUAUGCUUUUAGGCCCACUUGCUAGAGGCCCACUUAGUAAUUCGGCCUGACAUUAGUUUUGGCCUCUUAAGGACCCGUUUAACAUUUCGACCCUAUAUUAAUUUCGGCCUGUUAAAUGCCCAUCAUAUAGUUAGGCCUAACUACGGCCCGGUUUGCAUCCGGCCUGCUCGCAGCCGAUAUCUGAUUGGGCCAAACAAGGACCGAGACAAUUUUGGCCUGUUAAAAGCCGGGGUUCAUUUCAGGCUGCUGCCGGCCCGUUAGCUGUUUGCCACGUUUCAGGCCCAACCUACAUCAUGAUUGCAUGACGGCCCGAUUAUGUACCGUAAUUUUACGGUUUCGACGGUUUACUGCGAAGACAGGAUAUAUAUAUAUACAGUAAAAUAACUGCAACAUCGUGAAUAAGAAAAAACCUAGACUAUACAAUAAAGAAAUUACAGUAUAUUACAUCCACUGGGCAUCAAAGUUCGCCACUAUGAUAAUAAAGCACAAGCAGACAGCAGAUUACAUACACUGGGCAUCAAAGAUCGCCACUAGCGCAAAUAAACACGCCGACAAAAUAAUAUACAAAACCGACAACACUUCAAUAGAGUUCAAGAAAGGUUAGCCCUGCUGGGGAGGUGCAGCGCAAGCAGCUGAGCAAGAUGAUGAGACUGCGCUUGUUCAACACUUAAAUCUUCCUCACUCUGAAAGAUAAACAACCAGACAGAUGACAGGUUUUGCACAUAAAAGUAUCAGUGCUGACAAUUCAUCACAUUUCUUACUGACGAAUAAAGUGACACAGUUUAAAAUUGCAUUAACACACUAUGGUAUUGUUCAGGUCAAGACAUGGCAGGAAAUGACAUUGUGAAGGAGUUGACAGCUUCACGACACCACUGGAUUACAGAUCAAGAACUCAUAAGUAUCAAUGGUUAGUGUGCUGUCAAUUUAUCGCAUUUUAGAUUGGCAAAUAAAGAGAUGGUUUAAAUAAUACUCACUCCGUCCGGAAUUACUUGUCAUCAAAAUGGAUGUGUCUAGAACUAAAAUACAUCUAGAUACAUCCAUUUCAAUGACAAGUAUUUUCGGACGGAGGGAGUAGUAGAAUGAUAUGACAUUGUUCAUAGUUAAGACAUUGCAGAAUAUGACAUUGUGUUGUAGUGGGUAGGUUCACCACACCACUGGAUUACAGAUGAAGAACAGAAGCAUACAUGCAGUGCAAAAGAAGAUCACUUGCUCUAUAUAGUUUAAUUUACAUGGUAUGAAUAAGGAACUUGGUUGUACAACUGAAAACUUAAAUUGAGAAAGGACAAACUUUUGUUUAUGAACUACAUAAUAAACUUUAAACAUGCCAUUUGAUGCAAACACCAAAAAUAAACAGUUGUUGCAGUCAUGCCUAACCAAAUAUAUACAACAAAGUUUGAAGGCUUGAGAUGGACAAACUUACAUUAUUGGUGAAGACAUGCUCUAUAAAGGCUUUGUCCAUGCUGAUGGGGGGGGCAAUUCAAGAAGUUUACCACAGAAUCUUCUUCAUAAGCAUUGCCUUUAUUCUACAUUUUGUUAAGAUUAAAUAUAGAUGUGAUAAUAUACGAAAAAUGGAGAAUAUUUAAGAUAAGAUGAAGAGUGAUGCUACAUAACCAAGUAGUUAUAAAUGUAAGUGCGGCGAUAUAGGGGAAAGGUACAGCCGAGAGCAAUGCACAACUAAACUUCUUCAGUACCAACCUUAUGGUAAGAGUAAAUAUAGAUCUGAUGUGUAGAAAAUGGAGGGCAAAGGAAAAUAAGUUGCAGAGUGAUGGUACAUGAACAACUACCUAUCAUUAUAAGUACACUGAUAAAGGAUAGCAUGUACUUACAAGAACAAUGCAGAGCUAAAAAAACAUUGGCAUUGGAUAUAUUCUACACUAAUGUAACCAUUCAUACAGAUCACAUAAUUUAGAGCGAACAAUUGAUAAGCAAGCUAUGAUGCAUACUGCUGUCACAUAAUGAACCAGGUAUGUAUGCAAGUACAGUGAUACAGGACAACAGGUACUAACAAGAGCAAAGCAGCGGGCAACAUAUUUGCGAUAUCCUGUCGUUCUUUUCAAACCGGAAUUCUUCUUUGAGUAGAUUUCAUGCAAACAAGAUCCGUAAGGCACAUGCAGAAAAGUAGAAGUUCAAAUUGUCAUGUGAUUUCAUAGACAGUACCUCAUCCUGGGAACGGGACCAGUGCAUAACAAGGUUUUUCCAUUCAAUGUCUUCUAAAUUUAGCACAGGAGACUUCACCGAAAAUUUGUUUAUAGAUUUGCCACCAAAGUGUGAUUUCCUCAGGUAACACCGAUACUGCUGCGAUGCUUCCUUGAAAAACACAAGCAAGCUUUGCUCGUCAUGACUAUCCAGAUUGACCCUCGCCUAGUUACAACAAUGUAAUGUAAAUCAUUGAUGUGUUCAAUCAGCAGAAAACAGGAAAAUAAUAACCAUGAAUAAUAGCACUUACACGUAAGUUGGACAGGAAGAUGUGAAAAUGGUGUUUGUCUUCACAAUAAUCUUCCCAUGAUGGGAAUAUAUGCACGUAGUCCCUAACAACAUUGAAAGCAUUGUCUCCUAAACUGGGAAUAAAUGGAACGGGGUUCCAAUCUGCAGGAAUUGGCCGUCUCUGCAGUUGGGAUAGGUCUUCGGCCGGUGGACUUGCUCUACUUUUUGCUGGAGUGGGAUUUUUCUAUGGUACAACUGGUGCUAUGGCAAAUGAAAUCGGUAUACCUUUUGCUGGAGUGCAGGUCCUGUGUGGUGGGGCUAGUGGUGUGGCCAGUGAAGUAUGGGUACAGUCUGCUGGAGUCGGUCCUACGUUUUGUGUCACUGGUUGUACAACCAAUAUAAGUGGGGUGCUGUCUGAUUUCUCCGGCACCACCACGUUUUUCAAGGACUUUGCUGGUGCUCCUUCAGGUUCGGCAAUCACCCUCUUCUUUUUUGAUGUCUGAUGCACACGAACAUCAUUUGAGUGGAAAACAUGGUAUGAUGACAGAUGGAAUAUGUAUUGAUAAUGGAUGGGCAUGGCAUCUCGACAUAUAUGAUGAGUAAACUAAGCAGAUGGCGGUGCAACAAAGUAGAAGAAAUGCAAGACAACAUAUGCAAGAUACCCGCAAUCAAUAAAACAUUGCCAAAUUAGAACAGGCACCUUGAUGGGUGAACAUGACAUGCCAUCUGCUUUUAACUCCUCGAGGUUAGAAUAGUCAUUAGGAUCAUAUUCUGAACAAGAGUCAAUAGGUGGGGAGCGUAUGAGUUUCAUUGCACCCAGAAUGGCACUCAAUGCCUUGGUGCCAAUUUUGUAAGUCAUUGCAGUGUUUAGCUUCAAGAGUGGACUGCUGCUAGUGCGAGACAAAGCAGCUACACAGAUCAUAGUGUAGAUAUAACGGGAAAACCUUAAGCAUCAGAGUAAAAUCAGCAAAGUGGAACUUGCUGGAAUAUAUGUGCUAGUAUUGCCGGUACGGCUAGAAAGGCUUCGGAUACCAGCUCUCUUCAAGUGAAGGUGCGGUACUGUUAAUAUCAGUAUAACUCUCAAAGGCGACACAACUCCGCGCAUUUCCUUGCUAUUCUUAUAAGAUUCAAGUGGGCAGGCCACUACAAAUCCUAUUCCUAUGUUUACAAGAUCCUACGAAUCAAAGAGGCUCAAAGUGUCCAUCACAACCGACCGUAUAGACCUCUACACUGCAAAUGUCCAUGCUCAUCUUCAGUACAAGGAACAUACUGUACUACUAGCAUACUCCCUCCGUUCCAAAAUAUAAGUCUUGGUAGAGAUUUCCACUAUGGAUCACAUACAAAUGUAUCUAGAUACAUUUUAGAGUGUAGAUUCACUCAUUUUGCUCCAUAUGUAGUCCAUAGUGGAAUCUAUACAAAGACUUGUAUUUAGGAACGGAGAGAGUACAUAUUAAAGAAGAAGGGAAGAGGAACAUGGUAAAGAAGAGGAAGCACAUUUUGGAUAAUAAAAUGUUGGUUGCGUAGUGCCCACACAUGAUGAACCAGAGCGCAUUAAGAAUGCAACUCCCAGCUGUCUCUCGACCAUUUCAGGCGGUUGGAUGAAGAUCCUACGUCUCCUAACCCUUCUUCUUCCUCGUCUCUGAUUCUUCCCAUACAGAACACCGCACGGGCCGCCGGCCCCACUACCUGUGUUCCUCCGCCACCCCCAUCCCCCACCCGCGUCGAGUUUUCUUCGAUCGGCGAGGCCCCACAACCACCUGAGCCCCUUGGAUCGCACCGGCGAACUCCGGCAAGCUCUGAAAAAUCGACUGAUCCAAUUUUGAAAUUUAGUCUACUGUAAUUUAACUAGUGUGGAAUAUAAAAGGGGAAAACCAUAAGCAUUGGGAGUAUAGUGUUGAGCGUGCCAUGGCGGAUCUAAAGGUGCAAACCGGACAAAGGCAACUUCGCAACCAAGACAAGUGGCGAUCUAUUUUCUUGCUGCGAUAAAUAAGUUGAGCAGAUACGAAAGAGUACCGCCUCUAGUGCGGCGCCAUGUACGCAUCUGCUGAGAAUUUGACGGUGCCGUGGUAGCGAUGGCUGUUGGCGGCGUGGAAGCAGAUCUAGGAGGAUAGACGGUGGCGGCAGGGCGCGGUGGACGAGACGGUCGUAGGAGCGGCGCCGACAAGGUGGACGACGGCGGGGAUGAAGCGAGAGGACGGGAUGCAAGGAUCUCGGUCCGAAGGCGUGGAUGAGAGAGGUCGAUCUCUUGUAAUGGACGGCGGCAUCAGGGUAUCAGCUCCGGCAUGGUGGAGGAGGACAGCGGUGGAUGGGGUGGCGGACAUCAGCGGACGGAGGAGGGUGGGGUGGAGAGGGUGUUUUGGCGCCCACGGAGUACGAAUGGGGAAAAGGAAGGUACAGAGGAAGGGGGGAACCAUGUAUUCAGGGCGCGCUUGUCUCAAAUGCGAGGAAAUUUAGAAACAUAGCCCCCGUUUCAAAUUUCUACUACAUCACAACAACAUUAGUCGGUUGGGGAUAGGACGGUAAUCUCGCAUACACCAAAUAUUUGCCGACGAGAGUUUGUUUUUGGCGACCACCGUGUAUGAAUAUGAAUCGGGGAGGGAGUCAAUUUCGGCCGAGGGCACACUGUGUUUUGGCGCCCACCGUGUAUGAAUCCGGGUGAGAGGCGGUUACGUCACGUUUGGGUGAAGUUACAAACCUACCCCUAUCGAAACCUAUAGAAAUCCAGCAGAUAGGCUUUGCGUGGCAGGGAUAGGCAGUAGUGAUUUCCAUCUCGCAGAUUUUGGUUUCGGGCGGUUACUGCGACUUUCCCUGAUUCGUUCAAAUUUUGCACAGUGCACGUUUACCGUGCCAACUCAAUUCGAAUCCCGUUUGUAUUCUACUAUUUUUUUUCGGGCAGGAUCCAUUUUCAGUUGGAAUUACAUUCUAUAUACAUCAUUUUUUAUAUAUACUUUCAAAAGAACAACAAAGAAUUCUGCUCCUUUAUAUGUAUAAUAUGAUUUACAAAUACAACGAUCUCAAAAUCUUAAGGUUGAAUUCGAAAAAAUUUAACCAAAUUAUGUUCUACUAAAAUGUAUGGAUCAGUAAUAUCUACAUAUUAAUUAACAUAGAUGUGCGUGAAUUCAUAUGAGUAUGCAUGUUUGGUAGAUCAAUUUUGGUUCGAGUACGGAUUACAUGUAUCAUCAUCUCGAAUUCAAAUAUUUGAAUCCCUUUUUUGUUCACUCCUUUCACGCCCAUCUCUCUCGCAUGCAUGCUCCUUCAGGUAGCUAUCACUCUCUUUUCUCCAGCUCACCGGCACGCUCACUUCAUGUUUCUCCUAUCCUCGCAAACAUGGUCUCUCGACAUCUCCCUUGAGAAGUGUCACACUCUCCCUAUCAUUAUACAUUACACGGUUGUCAUUAUCUCUCAUGUCUUUACUGUUCUCUGGUAUCACUCGGUACCUAAGCUUUCUUUUUCACCGCCACACACACAGUUUCUACUCAUCUUUCACUUUGUCUUUCUCUCUAUGGGAUUCUCUCACACACCCUAUAUGUCUCUACAUAUGACUCAUACCACUAAAAUUACUCUCUCUCUCCUGUAGACACAACAUUUGUUGCGGUCUCCUUUUCGUCUCCAUUCCAGACUGACACCGAUCAGACAACCCCGACUACCGUCUCCUCUCUCUCUCACACAGACACACACACACAACUCCUGCUUCCACUCCCCUUCCCGACUACCAUAUCUCUCUCUCACACAAAACUCUUGCUUUCGCACCCUGACUCGUAUUUCUCUCACAAACAUUUAUCGACUAUCUAGCCUCUAGAUAGGUUUAUACACCCGCACACUCAUGCUUCCACCAUCGCAUACAUGUCUCUCUCCCGCUCCUUGUAUCUAUGUAGCUUUUUCUUCCCUUCUUGAGACACGCCCUCUCGAUCGUGCACACACACUAUUGCCUCAUUUUAAGCUGAUACCUAUUGCACACACACUACUUGUGUCUUUGUCACACAUGCACUCCGUCCUCCUCCACUCUCCCUCUCUCUCACACACAUGGGCUUUUUGCAACAACUAGCAAGAUGCCCAUGCGUUGCAUGGAACAUCAAGAUGCAUUUGUAUGAGUAGUUUAUCUUGUGGGGGAAAAGGAUGAACGAGCGAAGACCUUAUUUGCAAAUAUGGAGAGGGGUGUGGGUAUCUUUUUGCAAAAUUGCCAUAGUUUCCUUCCUAUCCGUCAGAUAUAGAUUGGACGACCUAUAUUGCAGGAUGGCAGGCACACGAUCAUCACCGACAAUGCUUUUUAUAAGAGUAGGGAUAAAAAAUAGAGCUGGUGAUGAUGGUGGGCUGCCAUCCUGCAAUGUAGGUCGUCCGAUUUAUAUCUGACGGAUAGGAAGGAAAAUAUGGCAAUUUACCCACACUCUUCACCACAUUUGCAGAUAAGGCCUUCCCUCGUUCAUCCUUUUCUCCCACAAGAUCUUGAUGUUCCGUGCAACGCAUGAGCAUCUUGCUAGUAAGAGUAGAAAUUAGACAUAUACCACUUCUCGAAUCUUGAAACCAACAACAUUCCUCCCUUAUCUCAUCAAAACCGCCAAAGGAAUAUAUUUUGAGUGAAACAUAACAUAUUUUUAGUGAUAUACGUAUUUCAAAACUAGACUUUUUUUCUAUCAAAUCUGUGAAUAUGUAUUAAUCUACUUUGAUUGUGUGGCAACGCAUUGGCACAUUGCUAGUAGUUAUUAUAAUUUUUUGGACACCAGACAAACGGUGGAGUACAUAUACGAAGAGAAGAGGCGCACGCACGCAGUCGGCCUCUCGCUGUCUCGCACACAUGAGUGUUACAUAAAGGCGACGUUAACAAAUAAACCCGAAAACCCUAGGUGCACGAUUGCUGCAUUCGCGGGUACCGGGUACGUGGUGGAGCACCUUUGUAGGAGUUGAUGGUCGGGACCACAGGUGAACUACUUGGAGCGCGGUGGCUUGCCAGUUGCCACAGAUCAAGUAGCCACGUUUAAAAUAUCGUUUUUUAGCGGGGUUAAGAGUUCCGAUUUUCAAUGGCACGUUACAAGUAGUAAGUAGUUUUUAGAACGAUUGGUAUGGAGCUAAAAUGGAAUUCAUAGUACUACGUACCUCCUUGGUGUAUGGUUGUAUGGGUUUAUGUUACGAGAUGUUGAACCUGGUAGUUCUAGGGCAAAUACUAUGAUUUAGAUUUAGAUGCUGGUUUUCAGUAAUCGGAAGGGGAAACCCUUCUUUGACUAAAACAAACUACUACCUCCAUUCUGGUUUACUAGUCCCCAUCGUACUUUGGGUCAAAGUUUGUCCAUGAAUUUUACUUGUAAAAUGUGAAUGGAAAACGAGAUUUUGUUAUACCCAAACAAAAAAGGACUGGAGGGAGUGAUUGCUCUAACACGGACGCGACCUCUCAUAGCGCAGACAUUGAACCGGCAUGCUGGCCAAGAGGGCCGCACUCGCUACAGGCCCGGCUGAGCAUGCCUCCUCGCCGCGUGCAACUAGCUUAAGACUGCCCCGUCCGCCUUCAUUGAAUCCGCGCGUGUGCCGGCAACACGUCCUUCCGCAAGCCGGCAGGCAUUUUAGAACACAAAAAAUGACUAAAAUAUAAUUAAUUUACGCAUGGUCUUGACUUGUUGUGCUCGCACUGGUAGCAGGAACUAGUAGAGGUUUUUCUUUAUUUAUAACUCUCCUCACAUUUUUUUGGCUUUGAAGUGAAUCAUGGUUGUGGAAAUUAUGUAUGAAUGUGCAGAUAUCUGUGAACAUGAGUUUGAUGUGGAAGUUGAACUUGGAAUGUCGGGCUUGCGCUUGAACUAUACCAUGUCCAAUGCUUCGUCUGUUAUUGUUUGGAAAGUAAUUGCUGUUAUUACAUGACCCAAAAAAAAUAUUUUGUGCCACAUCAGUAGAUGCACACACAUCACAACAGGCAUGCUGACUGGAUAAACAUUUGAACCUAGCUAUUAUGAAGGAAAUUUUAUAUUGACAACAGUUUUAGAUAGCAGGAGACGCCUAGCCUGCUCUGCCUCUGCUAGCUUAUUUCUGGCUUCUUCCAUCUCUUCUUUGGCUUGGGUGAUGAGAGCAUCUGAUUGCUCUUUUCGCUUCUUCAGGAACUCAGCUACAUUCUCAAGGGCUGCUGCACGCUUUCUUUCAGCCUUUACUAAUGCCACGAGGACACGAACAGCUAACGACUCCACCUGGCUUGUGUGUAAUCCAGCAUCAUCUGGGAAUUUGCACCUUGUGUCUAAUCCAACAUCAUUAGGGAACUGGCACCUUGUGUGUAAUCCAACCUCAUUUUGGAAACAUGAUCUCGAGGUUGACCAUACUUCCCUCCUCGCAAGAACUGCAUCCUGACAUGAAGUUACUUCUUUUUUAGAUCAAUACUCAGAGAAACCUUGAUCCAUUUAGUAGAAGCCAGAUAAACAGAACUCGGAGAAGUGAAUUCAAAAGGAAAAGAAAUAUAAAAACAGACUACAAGGUGAGAACACCCACUUCCUACAUCAAGUUAAAAACGAAAGCAUUAGGACGAUUAAGACUCUUCUUAUUACACAUCGAAGAACACCACGCUUAAGAGAAACAGAAACUACAACAUAUACACAUCGAAGAACAUGAGGCUAAACGAAAAUAAUUGAAAGGGUGUUACUUACCAAAGCUCGUUUUACAGGUUCGGUGCAGCUCCUCUUUAACUUGCCACGCUCUUUGAAGAUGUCCCGAAUAUCCCGUGUUUGGUCUUCAUUGCUCCUCUGCAUGUUCACACUCGUGGUUUUAAAAUCUCAACAUGGCAAGAAAAAUACUACUUGUAAUACUCGUGCAUCUCGUGGGCAACAUAAAGCACUCGUCUGCCAUGUUAGAGCAUCUCCAACAGAAUCGCAACGCGUGGCGCUUUAAAAAAGCGUUUACAGUGCUGAGAUCGAGAAGUAGAUACUAGAGCGUAGAGGAUAGUUCUCAGCAUAGAUAGAUAAAAAAAGAUACCCAUACCCUCUCCAGAUUUGCAAAUAAGGCCUUCCCUCGUUCAUCCUUUUCUCACACAAGAUAAGCUACUCAUACAAAUGCAUCUUGAUGCGUGCAACGCAUGGGCAUCUUGCUAGUUCUAAAAACCUUUCCAUCAUUUGCCACACUGCUGGUUGCAGAUGAAAAACCUACCCAAGCACAGCGCGAUACAGGAGCGACGCACAAUUACAAGAAGAUAUUCUGUUGGACAAUGGAGGCAAUAACCAAUUACUUUUACGGGAACAAUAGCACCAAGGAAAAUUGAAGGGUAGGUAUGAACAAAAUUGGAACUGCACAUGUACUGCUAAGUGAUUCAAUACACACAUUACCAAUCGAGGAGGAGAACGAUGGUCGCGACGGCCUCUACGAGUCAUGGUCGGCAACGGGAGUCAGUUCAUUGUCCACGACGGUGGUACUUCUGCCCUUGGCGUCGGCUUCCGGGAAGCAGAUCCGAGACCAUGGAAGACAAUGCUGGGGAAGAGGAUCCGUCUACGACGACGACGGUGGACCGGCUCCAGUGCAGCGUAUGAGGUCGUCGAUGAGGCAGAUGCGCUGCGGUGGACGAGUGCGCCGAUGUAAAGGGGAGGAGCACGAAGGCUGCGGUACCAUGGAGAAGUCUAUUUUGCGGUGGGGAUAGAAAAUGGGGAGUAUUCAGGUGUACUACUCUGGGUGCCGGGGUGGGGCUGGCUGGGUAGGGUGAACCUGAAGUUAUGAAAACAGCCCCCUACCAAGCGUCGUCCGUAGGCAUGUUUCGAAGGCUAUGAUGGUAACUUCCCACUGCUCGAAUCAGGGUCGCGGGAGAUUUUCCUGCCGACCUCAAAAUUUUGUGACACUGGACUCCCCGUGUGGCGUGUUGAGUGAUUCGGCUAAGCAACUAGCGAGUAGUAGUAGUAAGCUCUGCAUAUUAGGUUUGACCGAAGUCAAACUUCCUAAAGUUUGACCAAGUUUAUAUAAAAAUAUAAACAUUUACCGUAACAAAUAUGUAUGAUGUGGAAGUACAUUCAAUAAUGAAUCUAAUGGUAUUUAUUUGCUAUUGUAUAUAUUAAUAUUUUUUGUUAUAAGCUUUCUAAGAGUUUACAAAACUUGACUUUGACCAAUGCUAAUACGCGGACUUAAAUAAAAACGGAGGGACUACACAUUUGUUUUCUUAGUUUGUAGUGAACUAAUCAUUUGUUGAAAUUGUGAAAUAAAUAUAUUAGGCUAUUGACUUCGAAUGUAAUGGUCUAUACAAUUCAAUAGUUACAAUCAUUAUCGAAUCCCAAGAUGUAUACAAGGUCUAUAGUACUUCACAACAUGCUCAAACUCACAUAAUCCCAGUCAAAUGAGAAUCUAAAUGCAUUUCAUAGUUAUUACUUUGUAGGAUGCAACAAAAACAACCAAAACUCUACAUCAGCCAUUAUAGAAGCAACAUUUUUACAUAUCCCAUUGUGUGAAUGAAACAUGCAGAGAGAGCUUUUGAAAUGGAGCAGAUAGGGCGGGAAAGAUUGUAUGUAUGUGGACGAGAGAGUAGGAGACAAACCUAACAAGACAGAGAGAGAGAGAGAGAGAAAGAGAAAGAGAGAGGAAGAAGUUAGGUCUGUAAGAAAGAUGGAGACAUGUAAUAUACGCGAUUCUGUAUACGUGGAAGGAUAAGAGACAACAUAUUUGAUGAGAGAGCUAGAAAAACAUGGAUGAGAGGGGAAGGAUCGCAUGGGUUGAGGGAUUGACAAUUUUGUCCGAGGGAGAGAGGGAUUGGUAAUUUUGUGCAAGAGAGAGAGGGUGGGGGGAGGAGUCAGUCAGCCGUCGUCACAUCACCCUGCUUCCAAAUGACCAUGCAUUCUCUAGCGCAGUGUGGUCGCCGUCUUCGAUCUGCUCGAUGCCCUCUUUGAAGAUUGAGGUGUUGUGCAUGUUGGGGUGCAAAGAAGCACAAGCAAGAGUGGUCUCCGUAUAACCUUAGAUGGGGAUGAAUUGUGUGCUCGGGGGAGUGUGUGUGUGUGUUGUGUUGCGUGUGUGUGUGUGUGUGUGUCAGAUAUUGAGCGAAAACAAACCUAAGGAAAAAAAUGGGUAUUCACGAAGAGAUUGUGCGGGCCUUGAGGUGGGCAGGGGCCGAGUGAGGGUGUCAAAAUGUGCGCGUUGAUGCAUAUGUUGCAUGCGAUCGUGCGAGGGACGGACGAAUCGAGAGAGAUGGUUGUUGUGUUACGGAUGCUCCUUUCUCUCCCUGUCUCUCUGUCUCUCUGUCUCUCUCUCUCUCUCUCUCUCACACACACACACACACACACACAAGUAAACUAGAAGACCGUUCUCUCAUGUAUACACAACGUAUCGGCAUUUGUCUAUGUCUCACUCAUGCAUGAUCAUUUGCACAUUCACACCUCUCUAUGUCUGUAUCAUACGCACACCGUCUCCAUAUUGCCCUUCCGCCACAACACAUAUAUGGACACAUACACACAUUCUCUCACAGUCACACACACAAAAUAAGUAUUAAAAAAACUAGGGCGCACCUAAAAUGUCCAAAUCCAAAUAAACACAAACUGGAGCUAAAUUCAAAUAUAUGGAAAUAUUGCAGCGUCAAGAACUUUCCCAGGAAAAAAAAGUUGAGUAAUAUUUGAGGAUUGUUUUCACACACACAAAAAGGUUCGGUGGAUGUCCUUCGAGCGCGACACGGUGACGCACCGUUCGAUCGACCGCGCGGCCGCGGUUCACGCGCUUGCACAGGAUUCCGUAUCGUGGCUGUGGUACUAACUUCAAAAAUAUAUUAAUAAAAGCGCUGCCCAAGUCUAAUGUUUACGUGUACUAGUACAGUUUUCUUUUAAGUUUGACCAACCUCAUAUAAAACUAAAGUAAUCUCCCAUACGCGCACUCAUCAAUAUGCCGCCGCCGGCGUUGCGCAUGCCGGCGCCCACCUGCUCCGGCCAACAAUUUCUCGCCCAUCACCGCCGUGUCGCCGCCAUCCCUAUGCCAUGAAGCCGAAGGCUCGCCCGCUCACGUCGUCUGCAGUCCUCCUCGCCAUGCCGCCGCGCUGCCAAGCACGCGAGCAGCUGGUGGAGCCGCGUCUAUGCACACAUCAUACGAAGAGGAGGACGAGCGCGUGCUCCAGCACGCUGGCGAGGAGGAACUAGCGCGCCAUUGUCAUCUCCGCCCGUGCGGAGGAGGCGCGCAUGGUGGCUCUCGCGGCGAAGGCCAGUCGCGCGUGCGUCGAGCCCGCAAACCGGGUGCGAACGCGGAAUCUACCUUCGAGACCUUGAAUGCCACAUGGAUCCUGCAAUCUGAAGGAGCAAUUUGGGUAAGUCAACUCAUGUGAGCUGUUUGAUGCAACAUGGAUGCCUAGAAGGGCUUCUUCCACCUCUUCUGCCGUCUUCUUCCUUCGCUCCAUCGAACUUCUUUCACAAAUCGACUAACCCAAAUUAUACUACUAGUACGAACGUAUUAAGUACAGUAGGAACACGAAGGUACGAGCAGUAGUACCAACUACAAGAAGAACAGUAGUAAAACAUAGUACUAGUACUACUCUACGUACUAAAGAGUUCAAAUAACGAGAAAGAAUAUAAACAUAGUUCUGCUGGGGCCUCAGCACAACACACCCUUGAAAAUAAACUAAGCAACUAGUCCGCUUGACACUGCAGUAGAACCAGCAUGAGCGACGGCACUACCACCUACUCGGAGUCCGAGUCCACGUCCUCGACUUCGUCCUCGUCCCUCUUCCUCUUCCUCUUUGUCGACGCUUCUUUGCUUGAACCGGACACUGGGAUCUACUUCUUCAUCCAACCCAUGUAGAUAUUUAAACAAAGGUAGGCAUCCAUUGCUGCGUACAGGAUGUGAUCUUCAUCUAAUGUCUUUGACUCUCAUGCAUGAUGAAACUCGUGAUGAGGUUUCUUCAGUUUAGCGUACGAAGGAUCAAUCAUGGCUGCUGCCAGGGUCAGCAUUGAAGGUUGAGAGGAGGACACCAGGCUUGCCUUCUGGAGAUCGAAGGGCUGGCCUACAACGAGACCUAUCCGACGCAAGACAUCCCUGUCGUUCUUAAAGCCUACAGUAACGAAUUUCACUCUUUUGUCCUUGAGGAAGUUCUUAAAAUCCUGGCACUCAACGUCGGCAUGGCAUAUGUGGUAGACCAAGGAAACAUUAUGUACGCAAACCUGGAUCACGGCGGGCUUCUUCCUCUCUUCGUCCUUUAGAUCCUUCUCUCGUCCUAGGACUAUGGUGUACUCAACAUCUAGCCCAGCGACCCACUCAUCUGUUGAACUGUUGAACAUGCGUAGGAAGCGAGCAAGCCAUGCUUUCACCGUCGCGGAUCCAUGUGUGUAGAUGACGAUGAACUGAUCUCGAGUGAUGGCUCUAACCUGGUACUCAGCGGUGACCAUGGAGAUUUGGGAGGCCAUGGAUUUUGGAGGAGGGUUAGGAGAAGUUGAACUGUUGUACCCCGCAAAAACUGGGAGCGAACUAAUGUGAAAGGACGGGACGACUGGGAGCGAACUGUUGUGAGGUAGAAGACGGGGACGAGUAGGGCGUGCGAACGGCGUGGGGUUGCUGGCUUGCCCGGUGGAUAAACGGCUGCAAGCCCCCAAAGAGUUCUCGAGAACUAUGCGGGACCCACUAGAUGUCAUGUCUACUAGACCCAUAUCGUAGGCCUGACGGUAUAACUUUUGCCUGUUCGCACGCCAUGCCGGCGCGUGGAUGUAACUUCACUUAAUUCUGUCAACCAUCGCGCCUCCCACGACCUUCGCCUCCCUCGCGCGGUCGCGCCCUUUGAGACUUCGACUGGCUAUAAAUGAGCAAUUUUUUUUGCCUACUCCGCAUGCAUGAUACUCCCUCUGGUCCUUUUUACUCCCGUCAACCGUUUGCAAACUGUUUGACCAAAUAUAUACUUUUUUUAACACCACCUUAUAUUAAUUAACCAGCCACACCAGUACACUCAUUCGAUACAAUAUUGACCACACAGGGCGGUACGUUAUUUACAAGAAUACCAUCUAAUCUAUUGUCAAAGCUAUACUUAGCGAUUAAGUGUGCCACCUUAUUGGACGAACGGCUAAUCUUUGACAAUUGAAGAUUGUUGAUCAACUUCGAGAUGCUCAACGCUUUCAUCUUCAGGUCACGCAUAGCAGACCUGUCAUAGUCCCCCGAUGUAAGAGACGAUACCACAAAAGCGCAAUCAGUCUCUAAAAUUAUAGGAUUAUGAAGAGAAAUACCUAUGUAGAGACCGGCAAUGCAAGCACUAAGCUUUGCUUCCUCCAUGCUUUGACAUGCAUCAAUGAAAUCCCACGACCAAAUUUAUACUAAAAAUAUCAAUAUCUACAAUACUGAUUAUAAUGAGUAUAAGAACUACGUUUUAAGAUGAGUGUAAAAAUAUUGAUUUGACAUUGUGAAUGUUGAUACUCCCUCCGUCUAGGUGAGUAAGUCAUCUUAGGUUGUGCACCGUGACCAAGGAGGAGGGGAAAACAAGAGACAUUAAUGUUUAUUUGCUAAUUAAAUAGUAUUGCAUGCAAUGAACUAACCACUGCAUGUCAUGUUUGAUAGUUUCGGGUCAUUAAAAGCAUGCACACCCUCAUCUCUUAUUGGUUGAUAUGUCAAGAAACAAGAAACGAGGUAUAAGUUAAUGCACCACGCCUACGUGUUUUGGGAUUAUUUGGUUUUCGUAAGAUGACUUAUACACCUAGCUAUUAGAGUACCACUACCUCCCUUCUAGUUUAAAGGGCUCGACUCAAAAAUUUCACCUACUCUUAGCAAGAUAGUAGAGGCGGUGGAAUAGUUUUUGAAGUCUGCAAAAGUACUCAACUAAUGUUGUCGUUCUUCACAAAAAAAUGUGUUUACCAAUGCAUGCAUGAACACUAGUUACUCUAACCCCCCCUCUCAUCUUUAAUUCUUUGCCACAUCAGCAUGUUUGCUAUUCCCGUGUGCAUGAUACCAGCUAAGAUACCACCAUGAUGGCCAGCCUUAAUCCUCGCAUGCAAUAAUUUAGUGCACCUUGAAAUAUGAACAUGUGUGGGGCGUGUAUGUUUUUAAUGACUUGAGAUUAUACCUAGCCCGGCAUGCAAGAUGACUUAUUAUGCACCGUUCCUCAAACCUGCAGGAAGCCCGUUCAUCUCCAAAUCUUUUCCUCUCCAUGUGUGGAAACAAUAUGCCUGCCGAACUCUCCUUCUCCCUCCGGCGGUCCCACCACUCCACCCCGUGUGAAAAAAUCUGCAUGCAUGACUCUCCUCCCCCCACGCUCGUCCAAUCCGUUGUGACCAGCAAUAUUUCCACCCCUUCGCUCCCCCGUAAUUUACUCCAACAAAUAUGCCCACGUAGCUUUUACUUAACUUUAGGCGCAUUGGGUCACUGACAUACAGGCCCAGUAGUGUACUGGCCCACAUGUCAGUGACGCAACUGAACCUGCAGUUAAGUCAGUGCAACUUAGUCCAUAUCUUACGUAGGUGUGCCAUUGCUCGCUAUAAAUACUGCGCCUCCCACGACAUCGCUAUCUCCUCCCCCUCACGUUCACGUUCAUCGCUAUCUCCUCCCCCUCCCUCUCACGUCGACCACCAUGCCAUCACCCCUCCCAAGCCCUAGGAGCCCCUCGCUGCACCGCGCGGACGGUCACGCGUCGCCGUUCCAUUCCUCGCCGCCACUAGUCGAGGAGGACGCGUCGGCGUUCUACUCCUCGCCGCUACGCGACGCGUCACCGUUCUGUUCCUCGCCGCCACUAGUCGAGGAGGACGCGUCGGUGUUCCGCUCCUCGCCGUGACGCGACGCAUCGCCGUUUCGUUCCUCGCCGCCACUAGUCGAGGAGGACGCGUCGGCAUUACGCUCCUUGCCGCGACGCGUCGAGGUGGACGCGUCGGUGUUCCCAAUCCCGCCAGCACGCGCAUUGGAGGACGCGUCGGCUCCCCGCUACGAGGAGAAUGCCGCACCGCCCGCCGAGCCCCCCAGCCUUGAGGAGCUUUGCAAAGAAACGGGUGUCGCCUUGUGGGAGGCUUUGCCUCCAGCAGAGCGCGCCAAAAUAGAGGCGGAGAAGAAGGCCGAGGAAGAGAAGCACACCGCGCAACAAGCUUUCUGGGAGAUUUAUGUCGCGUCUGAGAGAGUCAAGCAAUUGGUUCUUUGGCAGAAGGCUCGUGCGACAGCCGUGAGGGUGGCGGAGGACGCCAGUGCCGACGCCCUGAGUGCAGUCGGGCCCAAGCGCCUCAUCUACGCUUGGCGGUAUGUGGACCGGGUGCAUGCUUCCAGCCAGGAGGAGUACCUGUUGGCACCGGAUCACCACACCGGUGAGAUCGCGCUCGCCCGCUGGCAAGCCGCCAAUCAGCACCUCACGAGUUGCGAGGCUGAGGAAGAGGCGUUGUGUCGGCGUGCUGGGAAAUGGCCGCGCACCAGGGCACUCGUGGCGCGCCGCAAGCGCUCCUGCGAGCGCCGUGGCUUUUAGGAGGAGUACAAUUUUUGUUUCGUAAGACGAUCUCAUUAGUUUUGGGACGCAAAUGAUAAAUCCCGAACAUUCAGGAAUUUUUAGCGUCCUUAAUUAAGUAUGUAAAAGGGAAAGUUUGGAAACGUUGUGUAUUAUUACGCAUUUUGCAAGUACGUGCAUAUAGCACAAACUUUACUAUAUACUAUCGGACUACACGUCUCUCUCGAUAUAUGCUUGCAGACUGUGCUACUCCCUCCGUCCAGGUCAAUAAGUCAUCUUUGGUUGUGCACGGUGACCAAGGAGGGAAGACUUGUACACCUAGACGGAGGGAGUACUACUAUUACUUAUGUCCGUGCAAAUGCACGUUUUAACAUUACGAUGCGGUUUUUGUAAAAUUAGGAAAACAACACUAGUCAAGCUUGUGAAACGAUUCAAUGCAAAACAAAUGCAAAAAUGCUCGUUUGAUUGUUUACUUUUAGCUUCCUUCUCUGUGGUUAUUUCUCUGUCGUACUUUGUACGGAGCAUCUGACUGGUUGGAAAGGCAUGCAAAUUCCCAAACCGCUUCCUACACCCUGUAUCGAAUUUUUUGCCUAACAAGUUGUGCCGUGCAAUUGGAAUUCCAACUUGAGUACUACUAGUAGUAGGAGUACCAGGGGCCAGUUCUUUUAGGCUUCUAGAUUAGUAAUCCCAUAACUACUACCUCCGUCCUGGUUUAUUGGUCCCCAUUGCAAUCUGUGUCAAAUUUUGAUCAUAAAUUUAACUAAUGAAAUGUUAGUGCAUGUCGCAUGCACUACUCCAUCCGUCUAGGUGAGUAAGUCAUCUUAGGCUGUGCACCGUGACCAAGGAGGAGGAGAAAACAAGAAACGUUAAUGUUUAUUUACUAAUUAAUAGUAUUGCAUGCAAUGAAUUAACCACUGCAUGUCGUGUUUGAUAUCUCAAGUCAUUAAAAGCAUGCACACUCUUUAUCUCUUAUUGGUUGAUAUGUCAAGAAACAAGAAACUAGGUAGAAGUUAAUGCACCACGCCUAAGUGUUUUGGGAUUAUUUGGUUUUCGUAAGAUGACUUACACACCUAGGUGCACCGCGCCUAAGUGUUUUGAGUAACAUUUUAUCAGUUAAAUCUUUGGUCAAAAUUUAGCACAAAUUACAAUGGUGAGGAAUAAACCAGGACGGAGUAGUAGUUUAGAAGCCCAAAUAAAUGAGUGAGGCGCCUUAUUGAUACUCUCCACUGUGACUAGUCUUGUGGGGAAAGCUGGGGAAGCCGCCAAAAGAACUGGCCCUAGGAGUAGUAGCUAGGGAUCAAGUGUGGGAGAUGAACCGGAGAAAGUAAAUGCAGAAAGAUGAAAUGCAAAAAUGACGAAGGGAUGUGAUGGUUGCUUGUCUGUUUAUUUUACCAGGCCAUUUAUUACUGGGAGUGGUUGGGUUUUGUGAUAUGACGGCUUUACUGCCGCACCAUGAGCGGGGUGAGAGGUGAGACUCCCGUGCAGCGCCGCCCUCUACACUUGUACUACAUCGGUCGUGGUUUAUUAGUCCCCCAUUGAAUUUGACUAAAGAUUUAACUGACAAAAUGUUAGUGCAUGUCAACAAAAACUAUAUCGUUGGAUUCGUAUUUGAACAAUUUUUUGAAUGAUAUAAUUUUAGGUGACAUGCAUCAGUAUUUAUCGUACUAUAUAUAAUGUUAGUUCAAUUUUUGGUCAUACUAAUCUAUAGUAGUAAGGUGCCCGUGCAUUGCACCGAAGAGUGAAAUACAUUGAUCGGGGAGUUGUUUAAUUUGACAAAGGAUGUGGGGGUCAUCUCAUGUGUAACGGGUAUCGAUAGGUUUCUUCGGAUAUUAUCUCAUCUCUAGAGCUCACAAACAUCCGGGUGAAAUAGAUAAAAAGGCAUCUUUUGCAAACAAAAGCGUUCAACUGUUCAACCUGCAUCCAAAACUUGUGAAGAAAUAACACUUAUUGUGCUUUGCAAGAAAUGAUCUUUAAGAAUUAGUUUUUGAGUAUCGAUUGUUAUACAUGUUGGCUACAGAUGACAUGGCACUUUAUUAUAGUCAACAGUUGGCUAUACUAUUAAGUAAUAUUAACCAUGCCCUUAUACACCUAGACGGAGGGAUUAAAUCAGGAUGACUUGCAAGGGUGCAGAGGAGAUGUAAGAAAUGGUUCAUCGUAAGUCUUUCACUAGUACUGUAGUAAAAAUUCAUACAUGGAAGAUUCUAGACUAAACCAUAAACGGAUACACUUUUAUUCAUGCGCGAUACUCCAAUAGAGCAAGAUCAUGCAUGGAAGUCUCCACAUGCUUGGACAUCGGAUUACAUUGAGCGAAGACUAAUGAUCAACAUUUAACUUGAUAAUGCGUAUUUUUUUUGGAAGAAUAGGGAGGCUCCUCCCCAGUUCCAUUAUCAAAUGAAACCCAAAGUGUCUUACAUCAGCUCACUGAGAGGAGCAGUUCAAAGGAAGGACUACGGCGAAAGCCACUCAAGUUUAAUGACAAGCUUACAGAAUCAAAAGCAGCAAAGACACGGGCCAUAAGCGCCCACACACACACACUACAUGUUUUCUAAGUGCACCUGAUAAUGCGUAUGUCCAGGUGAACCUCCUUGGAGUCCCCGUGCACCGAGUCGGUGGGUAAAGGAUGGAAGGGAUGCCAUGGGGUUUCCAAGUCCACAUUGGCGGGAUAGUCCCAGCUCCCCAGAGUCCAAGUCUGUCCGAUGAGGCCGGUGUCGCCGCCCACGCGACCCGGAGGGGUAGUAACAUUGACCACGCACCCAUACAUCCGCCUCGUGUCAGUGUCAGCGUCAGCGACGAUGCCCCUGACACACAUUACAGAGACGGGGCGGCGGCCUGCGUGGGCCUCGCUGGUGCCCACGAUCAAGAGGAAGACGCUGUCGUCCUCCUCUGAGACUAGCAGGCGGCGGUGAUCCUCCAGCGCCUCCGGCAUGGUGAACCGGUAGCACGUGUCGUACUUGAUGUUCUCCGCCAAGGGCCAGCAGUGACCGAUGCACGCAUCCGUGAGGUGAUGCACCAUGUCCGCCGGCGAGCCACAAAACGGCAUCGGGCACUCAUUGCAGUGGACGAAGGGCUCCUUGGAGGCAUCAACCAGGCCGUCCAUGAAACGGGAGUGGCUGUAGGGGACGUUGCGCCAGUUGAAUAUAUGAGCAAGUUACUACGAGAUUUAAUCUGAAUAAGCACAAAAUAAAUCAUGACGGCUAUAACAGAGAUGAAACCAAUCAUGUGGACUAGCAUAGUAGUAGAAUACAGAGUAGAAACAUGAAUUCUACCACGAUUUCAAACAGGAAGGACAGAAACACAUACGGUGCAACGGGAGCAGCACCGUUGGCGUUGAGGUUGUCGCCCAUGUCAUUGAGGAAGAGGUUGCCGAGGUCGGGGAAGAAGUCAUCGUCGGUGAAGUCGUGGCUGCCAGCAGUCGCGAGAGUGCGCUCCCCAGAUUUCAACAGCACCCGCCGAAUGGAGCGCAGGAGGGAGUGGUUGUAGGGGACGUUGCAACCGCCGAAUGGAGCGCAGGAGUAGCACACGAAGCAGUAGAUGGUGUCCUUACUAGCACUCCCUAGUCUCUAUCUAUCUAUAUCUAUAUAUAUCUACUCUUAUAGAAAACCGAGUUGGUGAUGAUGGUAUGCCUGCCAUCUUGUAAUAUAGACCGUCCGAUCUAUAUCUGACAAAUAGAAAGCCAAUUAUGACAAUUUUACAAAAGAUACCCGCACCUCUCUCCACAUUUACAGAUAAGGCCUUACCUCGUGCUCCUCCCUAUGUCUCUAUCUCUACUACUUUUUUUAUAACAAAUCGAAUAGUGUUGCGCCGUUCGCUGCACGUCCGGCUGAACACGCCUCCUCACCUCCAUCACCAAUUGAGUCUUUUAUAGGAGUAGGAGUAGAGAAAAAACUGAGUUGGUGAUGAUGGUGUGCCAUGCAAUGCACGGGCAUCUUGCUAUUUGUUUUUUGCAUAUAAGUCCAAAAACCACGUAGACACGGUCUUUGAGCACGGUUCAUAGUCGUUUCACGGUCGGGCAUUGAAGUUUGUAACUAUUUUAGAUUAGAAUAUACUACUCCUCCGGUGCUAGUAGUAGAGCAAAGUCCUACUCUACUACUCUACUCUAGCAAGCUAGGGCAUAGUACUAUAGUAGGUACUGUAGGGAGUACCAGUACUGUGAUCACUCAAGCAAGUUGUCUGGCAUCGAUAUGACCCUACGUUGCUGGUAUGUGUCUCGUAAGUCAAGCGGCGUGCUGUAGUCAUCAUCACCUGUCCACUUCCCGCAACACAUAUUCGCUUCUCCAUCUUUGUCCGCACAUAAUCUCGUCCAAGCUUACAUCCCCGCUAAUGCGCCUCCCCCCCUCGUUCGAAACCCAAGCACUAACAAUGGCAGAACCAAGCAGCGUCCGCCGAAAGAGUGGCUGGAAUUCGCUCCCCAUAGAGGUAAUCAAGCUCAUUGUUUCGCGUGUGGACAAUCUCAGUACCAUGCCGCUCGCCGCGUGCUCGUCGGGGCUGUACCGUUUACUCAAAGCCCUUAGGCCGGAGCUUUUUAAGCCAACUCCUUGCUUGCUGAUGCCGCCUGAUCUUCAGAAACGGCAUGUCAUGCAGCAUAACAAUCAUAGGGUGACGAGCAUCAACCCCCUUCACUGCGAUCCGAUCCCCGUCAGCCUCAGCUACAUUAACGAUAUGUACUGGGUCGGCAUGAACACGUCUUGGAUGGUGCUCGUCGACGGUUGCGGCAGCUGGAUGCUCGUGGAGGUCUACACCCGGUGAUUGAUCCCCCUUACUUCGAUUAACACUACACUGCUUUGGCACCGCGGCCCAGAAUACUCGGAAUCUUACAGUAGCCAACAUGAUACCAAGUUUGAUUUGCUCAAGGUUGUAAUCUGCCAAGUGCUCACAAGAUCUGCAAAUUAUAAAGAUUUCAGGCUAAUUGUGUUCUUCAACCGCGGUCUCGCCUAUCUGACAGGUCACUGUGGUAAGUGGAUAAAUCUGCACGUCCAUCGCAGGAUCAUACAUCCUCCAUGGAUCUCUGAUGCCAUUGAACACAAGAGCUUCAUUUACGCUGUCGACUCCUUCUAUGGCUGGACGUAUUGCUGGCCUACUCCAGUCAUCGCUACAAACGGCUGUUACAGCAGUAUGUUACUUUCCUAUGAUAUCAUGAUGGAUUUCUUAUAUUACUGUCAACAUUUACUAAAAAUAUAUUCAUGCUCAUAACAUGCUGUUCUUAAGAUUGACUAAAUAAAGAGCCCAUUUUUAUUCGACUCCAACUUGAUAUGAUGUUGUAGGCCGCCUGGUGUCCCUACCCUUCCUAAUCCCAGAACCUUUCAAAGAAAAGCAGCAUGGCAGUUGCAGGUGGUUCCUGGCUCGAUCAGACGACAGCGAAGGAUUGAUGAUCGUUCGCACGUACCGGACAUGUUGUUUCACGAAAUACAAUUACAGUCACUGCAAGGUCUUUGAGCAGGAUCCAGCUUCACUGGCCUUCAGGAAUUUUUUUAAUGGAGGCUGGUAAGUAGCCUUGGUACACGCUCUCUGUUUGUCGGACUGAAUUAUCCGAUUAACCAGGAGAUAACCGACGACAAGGAUCAUGAUGGCAGUGCGGUUUCAUUCAUUAGGCAAAACUGUGUGUACACAGCGUACCAUGCGUCUCUGCAUGCACCAUACCCUGAUAUGUGCGGCCAUGCUCUGCAGCCCAAAGUAGGAGAGAGGGUCGCAAGUAUCAGACUUCGAACUGCUGGUUGGAGUUUCCCCUGUCAGGCACCCAUCUGGUUCAAGCCGUCAGUCAAUCUCCACAGCUUAAUAAAUAGUAACGUCUAACUGAGCCAGUUAGUUAGAUGCGUACACUUGGUGUAGUAGGACCUUUAUUUAGUUUGGUGCAUACACUUGUUAUUUUUUGGUAGCCCUUUUGUAAUGAUGGCUGAUGUUUGGUUUGGAAGAGAGAGUGGCGUCUUCACUCUUCUGGCCUGCUUACUGCUUCUGUUGCACACCCAGCCCUGGUUGCUGCUGCUGCUGUUUUCAAUGUACAAUCAGUAGUAUAUUUCGUCUGUUGGUUGAAUAAAUGUGUUAUUAGGACGACAAACGCAAUGUUUUGCAAGUCGUUGCACGGUUCGAUCCUUUAGUGCCCCGUACCGUACGUAGCUCAUACUAUUUUUUGUACAGAACACAUUUUCCACUUGUUGAUAACAUGCAGCUCACUGAUGAAGGCCCAAUAGAGAAGCCCAUAAUUAACUGGAAGGGAGGCUCUCACAUGAAUCCGGCCCAGGUACAUGCUCAUGGUCCCCUAAACAUAAAUAAGUAAAUAAAUAAAUAAAGCUAAAUGCUCAUGCACCAGUUCUUUGGGAAAAUAGGUAGCCUAGUAUUUCUUUUGGAAGAAUACCCAAGCUAGGCCUAUUUGUUUUCUCUGAAUUACAGGGCUGCAAAUCUUUCAAGACGAGGAGGGAUGCAUUCCGUCCUGACCAAACAGUAUGGUCAAUGUCUGUUAAAAGUAAUAUCAAAAGGGGUUGAAAAUUCCAAAAAAAUUAUAGCAAAUGGGAUAUUAGUUUUUUUUGAAUUUUGCUCUUCACUGAUAUCUUAUACGUAUUUCAUUGGAUUUAACAUGACAUAGUACUAAUUUAUUUUUAAAUUUGUUUUAGUAUGGCUAUUUAUUUUUGGACUAAGAAUAUUUCGUUCCCCAGCAAAAAUUUCCCACAUAUUUAGUUAAUUUUUUGACCCUGGUACUGACCAGAAAAUGGCCGGCAAUUCUAAAAAUGGAAAACGGGCGACUGACUUUUUUACGCAAGGCUUUGUCAGUGAACACACGAUUCUAGCCGCCGUGAUUCUUCAAUCUCUGAUCUUCCUGCUCCAGCCGCCUAAACUAGCGCUGGCGGGACUGCCUGCUCCCUCCUCUUGUGGCCCGCUGUGAUGCCGCGCAGGCUUCCCCGGCCCACCCUACUCCCUCCGCUGGCCUCGCCGCAUGCAAUCAACUGCCUCCUUAUUACGCGAAAAAAAUGAUUCCUCCCACUGACAUCUGGGGCGCACCGGUUGGGAGGCUGACCUGUGGGCCUACUACGUUGACGCGUACAUAGGGCUUGUCAACUUAGUCAACAAACGAUUCUAGCAGCAGUAACCGUUGGAUUUGAAUCGAACGGUCCUGUUGCUUCUUCAAUCGCUGCUCUUCUUGCACCAGCCGUCCAAACCAGCGCCGGGGAGACCGCCUGCUCCUGCCUCCAGUGGCCAGUUGUGCUACCGUUGAGGCCUCAUUGCCUCCUACUACUCCUACCGCUAGCCAGGCCCUGCGGCGACGGCAACCUCACACCGCAGCCGAACCAGUGAACCCCCAUACUCCUCUCUGCGUGGGCAUCCACUGCCGCGUCUUCCCCGGCUCCGCGUCGUCCCCUUCCUAGGCCUCGCCGUCGUCCACCACCUUGGUGCUCUCGGCGCAGCGUGGUCAAUGUGGUCAAUGACAUUCCAUCGGAAGAGUACUGUACGUGGAGAGGCUGACAGCUGGGUCCACGGCCACAACCCAGUUUUUUUGUGAUUUGCCAAGUAAGUCGCUUUGUCAGGCCUGUUGGGCUACAAAUCUUUCAAGACGAGGAGAGCUUUCAUUCGGCUUGCCGAGAAAAUGGCCCAUCAGUAAUGAGAAGUGGGCUGUACAUUUUUAAAACACAUCAAACCGGCAAUUAGUUUCAAAUAUCUUUUUUUUUCAUUUUGAGAUUUUAAAUUACAUUAAUUCUUAUGCAUGGAGAAUUUGUUGGAUUUUAUAUUGAUAUACAUUUAUUUUUAAAAUCAGUUUGAAUGUGAGUCGAAAUUUCAGGAUUAAAAACAGUUCGGACCGCACCGAAAUAUGCAAAAUUUCGUAUAAGUUUUUAACCAUGGCCACAAUAUGGGCUGUAAGGCUAACAAAAUAUUAUGGGCUCCAAAAAAACCUUAAGAAUUAGCAAAUGGGCUGUAAAUUAUUAAAAAUAAUGGCAGAUGGGCUGUAUGCUGUUUUCCACAGAUUUGAGGCUUUCCUAAAAAAAGGUUGAUGCACAAGCAGUGACUGUUGGAUGGCCAUCCAACGGCCGUCGUGCUUCUUCAAUCUCUGCUCUUCCUGCUCCAGCCGCUCAAACAAGCACCGGCGGGACUGCCUGCUCCCUCCUCCCCGCGGCCGGCUCUGAUAGCUCGGACCCACCAGCUAUAUCUUCGUACGCAAGGAAGUGCCUCCUUAUUACGCACAAAAAAAUGAAUACUCCCCCUCUUAGCUGGGACCCAGUAUAGUGGCAGGCUGACUUGUGGGCCUAUUAAGUUGACGGGGACGCAGGGCUUUGUCAACUUAGUCAAUAUGCACGAUUCUAGCUCCAGUGACCGUACGAUGUCCAUCCAACGGCCGUAGUGCUUCUUCAACCUCUGGUCUUCUUGCUCCAGCCGCCCAAACCAGCGCCGGUCGUGCCUUGUGCUCCUGCCUCCCGUGGCCGACUAUGAUGCGGCGGAGGCCUCACCGCCACCUACUACUCCCACCGAUGGCCAGGCCAUCCCUCUACUCACCCACACCCCCUGUUAUUCUGCGGCGACGGCAGCCUCACACCGCAGCGAACCAGUGAACCCUCGUACCCCUCUACGCGUGGGCAUCCACUGCCGCGUCUUCCCCGGCUCCGCGUCGUCCCCUUCCUAGGCCUCGCCGUCAUCUACCGCCCUGGUGCUCUCGGCGCGGCGUGGUCAACGUGGUCAAGGAACGGCUUCCAUCGGACGUGGACUGUACGUGGAGAGGCUGACAGCUGGGUCCACGGCCGCAGCAAGGAAGUGCCUCCUUAUUACGCGCAAAAUAAUUAUUCAUCCACCUGACAGCGGGGACCCACCGGACGGGCCACCAUAUUUUGUGAAAAAAAUGUUUCUCCCCUGACUGCUGGGACCCACCAGCUACACCUUCGCACGCAAGGAAGUGCGUCCGGGCAAAAAAACGAUUCGCCCCCCUGACUGCUGGGACCCACCAGCUACAUCUUCGCACACAAGGAAGUGCAUCCGGGCAAAAAUAAAACAUUCGCCCCCCUGACUGCUGGGACCGACCAGCUACAUCUUCGCACGCAAGGAAGUGCGUCCGGGCAAAAAGAAACGAUUCGCCCCGUGACUGCUGGGACCCACCAGCUACAUCUUCGCACGCAAGGAAGUGCCUGACAGUCGGAACCCACCUGGUUGAGGCAUACGUAGCGUUGUCAUUUUGGUCGCGAACGUGUACGUACAUAUAUACUGGUGGAUGUAGAGGCGCGCACGUGUCGUAGUAGAGGCGCGCACGUAGCAUGUACACGUACGUAAGCGGCGAGGGUGCAAGAAAGAAAAUACGGCCACGUACAUACAUACGGGCAGGGUCUUGAACGCCUACUCGCGCAUACGUACAUGGCUGGGUCGGAACGGAGAAACAACGUCGUCGUCGUGUUCAUGGGGAGCCAACCGGCUGGGUCAGAACGGAAUGCGUGGUCGUGUUCAUCGGGAGGGCUUGGACGGAACAUGCGAUGGAAACGAGGCUUGGCAUACCGCACAACGGAGGAAACGGACCUCCUACGUUCGGAACGGGGUCCUAUUGAUCGGGAGGGGUGCGGCGUACCACAAAACGGACGAAACGGACCUCCUAUGGUCGAAACGGGGGUCCUGUUGAUCGGGAGGGGUGUGGCGUACCACAAAACGGACAAAACGGACCUCCUACGGUCGAAACAGGGGUCCUAUUGAUCGGGANNNNNNNNNNNNNNNNNNNNNNNNNNNNNNNNNNNNNNNNNNNNNNNNNNNNNNNNNNNNNNNNNNNNNNNNNNNNNNNNNNNNNNNNNNNNNNNNNNNNNNNNNNNNNNNNNNNNNNNNNNNNNNNNNNNNNNNNNNNNNNNNNNNNNNNNNNNNNNNNNNNNNNNNNNNNNNNNNNNNNNNNNNNNNNNNNNNNNNNNNNNNNNNNNNNNNNNNNNNNNNNNNNNNNNNNNNNNNNNNNNNNNNNNNNNNNNNNNNNNNNNNNNNNNNNNNNNNNNNGGACGAAACGGACCUCCUACGGUCGAAACGGGGGUCCUGUUCAUCGGGAGGGGAGUGGCGUACCGCAAAACGGGACUCCACGGAUACUGUUCAUCUCCACUGUCGACCUCCUCCAGCCUCCACGGGCUACCGUCGACCUCCUCCAGCCUGCAUGGGCUCCUGUUCAUCCAGCCUCCACCGCGCGCUACUCCACCGGCUACUGUUCAACCACCCCUCCACCGUCUACUGUUCAUCCAGCCCUCCACCCUCUACUGUUCAUCCAGCCCUCCACACCACGGGGUCCUGUUCAACCACCCCUCCACGGCCACCCCUCCACCGUCUACUAUUCAUCCAGCCCUCCACACCACGGGGUCCUGUUCAUCCAGAGGCAAAACCACCGCUCACUGUUCAUCCAAACCCCCCCGCAACGCUCACUGUUCAUUCAAUCGAUCGGCUUCAGUUAGCAGCAGUAGCGAUGGAAUCGCUCCAUCGGGUUCAGUUAAUAGCCAUCGAUCGAUCACUCGGGUUCAGUAACGCGUAGCCUGCAGUGCAAUCGCUCGGGUUCAGUUAGAGCCCAAUGCCUCGCUCGGGUUCAGUUAGAGCCAACGCCUUGCACGUGUACGAGAGAAACGCGCAUCCCUCGGCCCCCGACCUCCCACCAUAACCGGCAACUCCCUGAAAUUUUCCUCCCCCUCACUUCUACCACAGUUUUUUCUGUCAUGGAGGGCCCAAAGAAUGUCAUGCAGCUACGUCUCCGGCACACCUAGGACGCAAAGCCCAUUUCUGUCAUGAUUUUUUGUCAUAGAAGUAGUAGCCCACCACAUCUAUGAUGAUACCGGGUUUUGUCACAAUUAUCGUCAUGGAAGUGUCAUAUGUAUGACAGAAAAAAAUCCAUUCGACCCAAAAUGUCACGGAUGUGUCUUUUUUUUGUAGUGUCUCCUAGACAACAAGCUAAUAAGAAAACAAGACAGAUCCAAAAAGGCCCUUCCUUGGAUCCUAGCUAGACUGGAAGCAGCAAAAACACCAACACUCCACCAAUAGAGGAUCACGUGACCUACAAGGAUCCAGACAAAUAAUAAAAUACAUAAAUCUAUGCUCCACCAAUAAAAAGCCGUAGCACUUUUGGCUUUUACCAAAGUCAAGAAAAACCAACAUAAGGCCCUCACUUCCCAGCCUACAUGCCACCACACAUGACAACAUAAUAUAGAAAACAUAAAAAAACCACAUGGCCAUACCAGCAUACACCUAGCCCUAAAGGAAGAUUGAAAAGUAUGUGGAGAAGAGGGGUUGACCUGUAGAUGACCCAAAUAUCCAUGAACGAGGAUGCAACCGACUCGGAUCGGAAGAGGCAUCGACAGGAGCGGACGAAGCUGCAGGGAAAACAACAGAAAAUCAGACACCAGCAGCAACCAGUGGCAAGAACAAGGCAUGCACAAACACAUACCUGCAAAUCGAUGAGCACAACAGUAGAUCCAGCGAAGCAACUGGAUUUUAACCGGGCCUACAAGCAAACAAGAUAACAAAUCAACGGGAAAAAGGAGGUGAUGCGGUGAGAGAGGGCUCGGACGGUGUGGGGGAGGACCAACCGGAGGCGCAGACUAAUACGUCUCCAACGUAUCUAUAAUUUUUGAUUGGUCCAUGCUAUUAUAUUACCCCUUUUGGAUGUUUAUGGGCUUUAUUUUACACAUUUAUAUCAUUUUUGGGACACACAUACUAACCGGAGGCCCGGCCCGUAUUGCUGUUUUAUUGCCUAUUUCAGUAUUUCGAAGAAAAGGAAUAUCAAACAGAGUCCAAACGGAAUGAAACCUUCGGGAGCGUGAUUUUUGGAACGAACUUGAUCCAGAGGACUUGGAGUGCAAGCCAAGAAGCAGCCGAGGCUCCCACGAGAUAGGAGGGCGCCCCCCUGUAGGGCGCGCCCCCCUAUCUCGUGGGUCCCUCAGGCGUCCACCGACAUACUUCUUCCUCCUAUAUAUACCUACGUACCCGGAAAGCAUCCAGGAAGGAGACGAAACAUGAUUUCCACCACCGUAAUCUUCUGUACCCACGAGAUCUCAUCUUGGAGCCUUCGUCGGCACUCUGUCGGAGGGGGAAUCGACCAUGGAGGGCCUCUACAUCAACAUCCUUGCCCCUCCGAUGAGUUGUGAGUAGUUUACCACAGACCUACGGGUCCAUAGUUAUUAUCUAGAUGGCUUAUUCUCUCUUUUUGGAUCUGAAUACAAUGUUCUCCCCCUCUCUUGUGGAGAUCUAUUCGAUGUAAACUCUUUAUGCGGUGCGUUUGUCGAGAUCCGAUGAAUUGUGGGUUUAUGAUGAAGUUUAUCUAUGAAUAAUAUUUGAAUCUUCUCUGAAUUCUUUUAUGUAUGAUUGAGUUAUCUUUACAAGUCUCUUCGAAUUAUCAGUUUGGUUUGGCCUACUAGAUUGACACUACUAAGGAAAACCCUAGCAGUAGCGCUGGUUUUGUGCUCACUAGUAGCGCGGGUAGGCGCGCUACUAAUAAGGCGCUACAGCUAUUGCUUAGCAGUAACGCGUGCCCGCACGCGCUACUGCUAGGACAAAUAGCUGCAGCGUUUGUUCAGUACCACGCUACUGCUAAGGUGACUACUUGCAGCGUGUUUUCUGUCCAUCGCUACUAGUAUUUUUUUUUUAUUUUUUUAGUGUAUUUAUGCGCCAUCGUACAAAUAUUGGUACAAUACCAGUUAUGAGGUUUAUAUCAUUAUGUCCAUAACAGUGUGUCAAAUGAAGGUGGAUUAGGUUCAAGUGGAGGCAAUAUGUGGUGCAUGUCAAAAGUAUACUACUAAUCCAAACUUGAUCUAGUUUGGACUAGUAGUAGUUUUGAUGUGCACCACAUGUUGCCUCCACUUGAAUCUAAUCCGCCAGCACAAGCUAUUUAAUCAUCAUCAUAGUCAUUACCACCAACAGUAUUUAUUUAAUCACCACUAACACUAGCUAAUAAUAACCAUCAUAGUCAUUACCACCAACACUAGCUAUUUUAUCAUCAUAGUAAUAGUGUAGCACAUCAUCAUCCUCAAACUCAUUUCUAGCUAGCUAAUCACUCCUGCUGCUCUCUCUUAGGUAAAAUAACAUAAAACAUGUAUAGCUCUCCUCCUUGAUCAAGCUGGAGCAUGCAGAUGAACCUGUCUCCUAAUCGUGGGUAGCGCAUCUGUUUGCUGCCCCCUAGUACUUCUCUGCGCUCCCCCAUCACAUAUUUGGUCCAGUCUUGCACUAUUAAGCACUCGUCGCUAAUCUUGAAUGCACUAAAGUAAUCUGUAGGAUAUCUUGACCGUAAGCUGAUAAUACUCAUGGUACCUUUAGUCUCGAUCCCAUAAGGCACAACAUUCAUCAGGAGUCCUUGUUGAAGAACAUCGUAUGGUAACAUACUUAGCAAUGAAGUUUAGCUUCAAUAAUAAUGUAUGGAAAAGAUGCACUGAUGACAAAUAGUAAAAAUCUUACCAUCCUUCCUAAAUACAUGUGACCGUAGUUCAUUACGAACACUAUUGGUCGCACAUUUUUAGUACUAACAUUUCUAAAUGCAGGAAGAAAAUUUAUCUUGACAGUAUCAAGAUCCUCAAACCAUGAAACAUAAUGACUGAGCUCCUCGCAGUUGAGUUCAGCCCCAGGACAGUAUACGGUCCUGUCUACCAAGCGCUGGACAUGUUUGCUUGCACUGAAAUAAGCUGACAAUACAAAUUAGUUGUCAACUAUUUUUGAAUAAACAAUAUCAAAGACAUAAAUAUGGUUGAGAAACAUACAUAAUGGUAUAACUGAGGCAUUUGCACAUCGACCCAGAUGUCGGUAUUACCUUCAAUAUCAUCUUCCAGACGAAUAUCAAAGGUGAUAACCAUAUCAGGCUCAAAUGCAUAAGUCUUGCGUAGUGCUCGCCAUGUUUUGCAUCCAAAAUAGGUGUAGUCGUCUGAAUUGUAUAAUUUUGCAUGGAAAAUAUAACCAUGCUCGGUCUUCAAGUAAACUUUCUUUUCCUCCGUACUAUGACUGAAACCUAUCUUAUCCAAUACAAAAACUCUCGCAUGGCAGGGAAUACGCUAGUAGAAUAGUAAAAAAAUAUAAGUUGAAGCAAAUGAAGCAGAUGUCAUGCUUAACUACGAAAAAAGACUUGUCGUUGUGACUUACUGUAUCCACUUCGAAGUUCUCAUCUAGCUUGAUGCUGAAGCGCCUAUCAUCAUCUAGGAAGAUUCCGUUGCAUAGGCCGCGCUCGUCUUUGCAGUAUUUGCAAAUACCGAACUCCUUUUCGUCGUCAGAUAUUUCCUAUGUUCAUAGUUAAAACAUUAAUUGAAAAUCGAUCGAAGACAACUACCAAGAUACUCAACACAUAAAUCCGGGGCACUCAAUAUUUCCUACAUAUUCUGGCACAAGUCAUGCCAAAAUUCACGGAAAAAUCCGGCAUGACCUUUGCUAAAAUAGGACAUACCGAGCGCCUGAAAUUUGCCGGAACGGAAAUGAAUCAACACUCCGGCAAAACAUAGGCCACUCGGAGGUGUAACCUGCAAACAUGACCGGCCACUUGGAUAUUGAGCAACACAACAUAUACAUUUCAAUAUAUCUUAUAGGACUCAAAUUAGCAUGCAUUCAAUAAGCAAAAGUAAAUCAUCUCAUGCGUUCGUACAUCGUCGAAUAUAAUCACUAAUACAUCACGAAUAGUGUCAUACAUAUAACAUCACUAAUACAACUAAAACCCUAGCACACGACGGGUAUCGGCGCGGGCGGUGGACACCCACAGAGAAGGAACCAUCACGGGAUCAUAGCUCCAGUGAGAUCCCCGGAGAACCUGCCAGGUAUUGGAGAACGACCUGUGCUCCAACAGAAACAAGUAGCAACGGACGUGCGCGUCCUCCUCACUGACAUGGUGACGCACCACCUCCGCGGAGUCCUCGAGCCUCUGGAUCGUCACUGGCCCACAUGACCGCCACCAAAGAAGGUUCGGGUCAACGAUAGGCUGGCUCCUCACAACCUGCGCCCCCCGGUAGGUAGCGCCUCCCAGUCCCACCCCGGCGGAGCCCAGUCCCGGACAUGGCCGAUCUGGUCAAGCAGGUGUCGUUCUCCGCCGACUCGAUGACGAGGAUGCGGGAUAGGCAUCGUCCACGUCGAGGCGGGAAAAAUUGUUUUAACUAAAAAAUAGAAACAAGUUCUUACUAACUGGUUCUAUUAAUUCAACUAGUUGUUACUAAAAAUAAACUUACUAUAAAUAAAAAUAUUCUAGUACCUAAUUAGUACCUAGUUCUUACUAACUAAUUAGUACCUAGGAACUACUGCCCUAAUUACGAUCUAAUUUGAUGAACCUAUAGGGGUGGAAAGUGGUAGCGGAUAUUUCGAUUAUCCAACUAUAAAGUGAAAUAAGUGGUCAAAUUUUACUCGUUUUAUGAUUCAUCUUAGAAAUUUGAUUUGUUUUCACCCUUACAUGAACCCUAACUCAUUUGAGAUGCAUCCGCAUCCGAUUUGUUUCCACUCUUACAUGAACCCUAACUAAUUUGAUGCAACUAAAAUAUAAAGAAACCCUAGGCAGAGGUAGGGGAGAGGGAGGAGCGGGCGUGCUCACCUCGGGUGCCUGCGACGAGGGAGGGGUAGGGCAGCGUCGAGGUCGGGGUCGGGGCUCGGGUGCGCGGCGGAUGGCGGACGGCGUCGAGGUCGGGGUCGGGGCGGCGUCCGGGGCGGCAUUGAGGUCUAGGGCGGGGGCGGCGUUGAAUCUGGGGUCGGGGCAGCGUAGAGGGUGCGGAGACCGCGCGACGGCCGAUGGGCGACGGCGGCGGCUGACGGGCGACGGCGGCGGUGAGAGUGGAGAGAGUUGGAUUUGGGGGAAGUGGCCGCGUGGGGACAAACCCCGUGGUUAAGUCAGAAGUAGCAGUAGCGCGUUCCAGGAAAAGCGCUGCUCCUAUCUUAGCUACAACGCGUUCUGUGAUACAUGCUACUGCUACUCCUUUCUCUUUUUCCCCCUUUUUCAUUUAGUUUUCUUCACAUUUUAUUUUUUUUCCUUUCACCUUAUUCUAUUUCUUUCAUUUUCAAUUACCUUUCCAUUUUCUUUCCAUUUAAUUUUAUAACCUUUACCAGUAGCGAGUUUAUAUUAAAACGCGCUGCUACAAAUAAAGUAGCGGUAGCGCGGUUCGUCAUAGAUCGCUACUACUAUGUGUAGCCUAUUGGCUAAGCCGUGGGAAUUUUAGUAGUAACGUGUUUACAGCCAGACACGCUACUGCUAGAUCUUUAUUUGCAGCGCGGUUUCCUCAGGCACGCUACUGCUAAUUAGCACCAGCGCGCUUUUUUGACACACGCUACUGCUAAAGUUCUGUGUAUAAGGUUUUCCCUAGUAGUGUGAUCUUUCUUACCAUGGGAGAAGUGUUUAGCUUUGGGUUCAAUCUUGCGGUGUCCUUACCCAGUGGCAGAAAGGGUUGCAAGGCACAUAUUGUAUUGUUGCCAUCGAGGAUAACAAGAUGGGGUUUAUAUCAUAUUGCAUGAGUUUAUCCCUCUACAUCAUGUCAUCUUGCUUAAUGCGUUACUCUGUUCUUAUGAACUUAAUACUCUAGAUGCAGGCAGGAGUCGGUCGAUGUGUGGAGUAAUAGUAGUAGAUGCAGGUAGGAGUCGGUCUACUUGUUAUGGACGUGAUGCCUAUAUACAAGAUCAUGCCUAUAUAAUCUCAUAAUUAUUCGCUUUUCUAUCAAUUGCUCGACAGUAAUUUGUUCACCUACCGUAAUACUUAUGCUAUCUCGAGAGAAGCCUCUAGUGAAACCUAUGGCCCCCGGGUCUAUCUCUUAUCAUAUUUGCUUCCAAUUUACUUUUAUUUGCAUCUUUACUUUUUGCAUCUAUAUUAUAAAAAACCAAAAAUAUAUUUAUCUUAUCAUAUUAUCUCUAUCAGAUCUCACUUUUGCAAGUGGCCGUGAAGGGAUUGACAACCCCUUUAUCGCGUUGGUUGCGAGUUCUCAGUUUGUUUGUGUAGGUGCGUGGGACUUUUGAGGAGCCUCCUACUGGAUUGAUACCUUGGUUCUCAAAAACUGAGGGAAAUACUUACGCUACUAUUGCUACAUCACCCUCUCCUCUUUGAGGAAAACCAAGGCAAGCUCAAGAUGUAGCAAUAAGGAUUUCUGGCACCGUUGCCGGGGAGGUCUUCGCCCAAGUCAAGACAUACCAAGUACCCAUCACAAACCCAUCUCCCUCGCAUUUACAUUAUUUGCCAUUUGCCUCUCAUUUUCCUCUCCCCCACUUCACCCUUGCCGUUUUAUUCGCCCUCUCUUUCCCAAUCUCCUCCUCUCUUUUGCUUGCCUUUUUUUGUUUGCUCGUGUGUUGGUUCGUUUGCCCCGUCGUUAUGACUAGUUCCUUAUCCGCUCCUAUGUCUCCCGAGUUUGAAGUUCUUCACUUCAAGCAAAGGCAAGGAGAAAACUUAAAAGAUGCUUGGUAUAGGAUGAUGGAAUCUUAUUGCAAAUGCACCCUAGAGGUGAACUUUAGAAUUCUUCUUCGCAAUUUUUAUGUUGGGCUAAAUAUGACGCAUAGACAACUCUUGGAUUACAUUGCCAAGGGAAAUUUUAUUGAAAUUGAUCCCAGUAUUGCUAAUGAAAUUAUAGUGGGAAAGUGGGAACACUACCUCAAAAGGGAGGAUCACAUCCUACCCAAGAAGAAACCCAAGUUUUUGGAAAGAUUUGCGAAGUAACAGUUUUUUUACAAAAGUCUCUUGAGCCUCUUAAAAGUGUUAGCGGAAAUCUUCACCGCAUGAAUAUGUUGAUUACUCUUUGCAAUAAGCGGUUGGAUUCUUUAGAUCUAAAAUUUUUUGAAUAUGAAGGAAACGGAAAGAACCUCCCGGAUUCGAGCAUGACUCCGCUAAAAACCGAAAAUUAAAGAUGACACUACUUAGAUCUAUCUUUGCUUUUAUGCCUAGCUAGGGGCGUUAAACGAUAGCGCUAGUUGGGAGGCAACCCAAUUUUUCUUUAUGUUUUUUGUUUUUGCUCCUUUUUAGUAAUAAAUCUUGCAUCUACUUUCUGUUUAGAUGUGUUUUUAUCUUUUAAUUAGUGUUUGUGCCAAGUAGAACCUGUAGGAUAACCUAUGAUGAUAGUUGAUUUGAUUCUGCUGAAAAACAGAAACUUUGUGCGCACCAAUAUAAUUUUGUUAAAUGAAAAAUUGAUUCUUUUCUAUUGAUUCUUUUUUCUGCUGAUCAAUAGACAAAUUGUCCAGGACUUCCUAUUUUGGUAGGAUUUUAAUAGUUCCAGAAGUUUGCGUUAGUUACAGAUUGCUACAGACUGUUCUGUUUUUGACAGAUUCUGUUUUUCGUGUGUUGUUUGCUUAUUUUGAUACAUAUAUAGCUAGUAAAAUAAUUUAUAAACCAUCAAGAAGUUGGAUUACAGUAGGUUUAACACCAAAAUAAAUAAAUAAUGAGUUCAUUGCAGUACCUUAUGUGGUGGUUUUCUUUUCUUUCACUAACGGAGCUUAUAAGAUUUCCUGUUGAGUUUUGUGUUGUGAAGUUUUCAAGUUUUGGGUAAAGCUUUUAUGGACUAUGGAAUAAGGAGUGGCAAGAGCCUAAGCUUGGGGAUGCCCAAGGCACCCCAAGAUAUUCAAGAAUAGCCAAAAUCCUAAGCUUAGGGAUGCCCCGGGAAGGCAUCCCCUCUUUCGUCUUCGUUCAUUGGUAACUUUACUUGGAGCUAUAUGUUUAUUCGCCACAUGAUAUGUGUUUUGCUUGGAGCGGCGUGUGUUAUAUUAGUCUUUGCUUUUUAGUUUACCACAAUCAUCCUUGCUGUACACACCUUUUGGGAGAAGCCUAUUUGAUUAGAAUUUGCUAAAAUACUCUAUGUGUUUCACUUAUAUCUUUUGAGCUUGAUAGUUUUUGCUCUAAUGCUUCACUUAUAUCUUUUAGAGCACGAUGGUGUCUUAAUUUUGAAGAAAUUUCUAGUCUCUCAUGCUUCACUUAUAUCUUUUUGAGAGUCUUUUAGAACAGCAUGGUAUUUGCUAUGGUUACAAAAUUGGUCCUAGAAUGUUAGGCAUCCAAGUUGGGUAUAAUAAAAACUAUCAUAGGAAGUGAAUUGGAUGUUAUGAUGAAUUUGAUACUUGAUAAUUGUUUUGCGAUAUGGAUGAAGGAAAUAUGCCCUAGAGGCAAUAAUAAAGUUAUUAUGUAUUUCCUUAUAUCAUGAUAAAUGUUUAUUAUUCAUGCUAGAAUUGUAUUAACCGGAAACAUAAUACAUGUGUGAAUACAUAGACAAACAUAGUGUCACUAGUAUGCCUCUACUUGACUAGCUCGUUGAAUCAAAGAUGGUUAAGUUUCCUAGCCAUAGACAUGAGUUGUCAUUUGAUUAACGGGAUCACAUCAUUAGGAGAAUGAUGUGAUUGACUUGACCCAUUCCGUUAGCUUAGCACUUGCUCGUUUAGUAUAUUGCUAUUGCUUUCUUCAUGACUUAUACAUGUUCCUAUAACUAUGAGAUUAUGCAACUCCCGUUUACCGGAGGAACACUUUGGGUGCUACCAAACGUCACAAGUAACUGGGUGAUUAUAAAGGAGUACUACAGGUGUCUCCGAAGGUACAUGUUGGGUUGGCGUAUUUCGAGAUUAGGUUUUGUCACUCCGAUUGUCGGAGAGGUGUCUCUGGGCCCUCUCGGUAAUGCACAUCACUAUAAGCCUUGCAAGCAAUGUAACUAAUGAGUUAGUUACGGAAUGAUGCACUAUGUAACGAGUAAAGAGACUUGCCGGUAACGAGAUUGAACUAGGUAUUGGAUACCGAUGAUCAAAUCUCGGGCAAGUAACAUACCGAUGACAAAGGGAACAACGUAUGUUGUUAUGUGGUUUGACCGAUAAAGAUCUUCAUAGAAUAUGUGGGAGCCAAUAUGGGCAUCCAGGUCCCGCUAUUGGUUAUUGACCGGAAACAAGUUCUAGGUUAUGUCUACAUAGUUCUCGAACCCAUAGGGUCCGCACGCUUAACGUUUCGUUGACGAUAUAGUAUUAUAUGAGUUAUGUAUGUUGGUAACCGAAUGUUGUUCGGAGUCCCGGAUGAGAUCAUGGACAUGAAGAGGAACUCCGGAAUUGUCCGGAGAUAAAGUUUGAUAUAUGGGAUAAUAGUGUUUGAUCUCCGGAAGGGUUCCGGAAUUCACCGGAAGGGGUUCCGGAUGUUUUCCCGAAAUGUUUGGGUACGAGAACACGUUAUUUGGGCCAAACUGGAAAGCCCACAAGGUUUUUGGAAAGCGUAAAAGGAAGUUUUGCGGAGUCCAGGGGCCAGACGCCAGGGUCCCUGGCGUCUGGGUCGAGACGCCGGGAACCCUGGCGUCUGGCCCUGGAGUCCGAGAAGGACUCUUGCCUUUCGGGUGAAACCGACUUUGUGGAAGCUUUUACUCCAAGUUUCGACCCCAAGGCUCAACAUAUAAAUAGAGGGGCAGGGCUAGCACCAAGGACACAUCAAGAAACACCAAGCCGUGUGCCGACAACCCCGUCCCCUCUAGUUUAUCCUCCGUCAUAGUUUCCGUAGUGCUUAGGCGAAGCCCUGCGGAGAUUGUUCUUCACCAAACACCGUCACCAUGCCGUCGUGCUGCCAGAACUCAUCUACUACUUCGCCCGUCUUGCUGGAUCGAGAAGGCGAGGACGUCAUCGAGCUGAACGUGUGCAGAACUCGGAGGUGCCGUGCGUUCGGUACUUGGAUCGGUCGGAUCGUGAAUACAUACGACUACAUCAACCGCGUUGAUAAACGCUUCCGCUUAGCGAUCUUCAAGGGUAUGAAGAUACACUCCCCCUCUUGUUACUAUGCAUCACCAUGAUCUUGCGUGUGCGUAGGAAUAUUUUGAAAUUACUACGUUCCCCAACAGUGGCAUCCGGGCCUAGGUUUUAUGCGUUGAUGUUAUAUGCACGAGUAGAACACAAGUAAGUUGUGGGUGAUACAAGUCAUACUGCUUACCAGCAUGUCAUACUUUGGUUCGGUGGUAUUGUGAGAUGAAGCGGCCUGGACCGACAUUACGCGUACGCUUACGCGAGACUGGUUUCACCGUUACGAGCACUCGUGCUUAAAGGUGACUGGCGGGUGUCUGUCUCUCUCAUUUUAGCUGAAUCGAGUGUGGCUACGCCCGGUCCUUGCGAAUGUUAAAACAGCACUAACUUGACGAACUAUCGUUGUGGUUUUGAUGCGUAGGUAAGAACGGUUCUUGCUAAGCCCGUAGCAGCCAUGUAAAAUUUGCAACAACAAAGUAGAGGACGUCUAACUUGUUUUUGCAGGGCAUGUUGUGAUGUGAUAUGGUCAAGAUGUGAUGCUAUAUUUUAUUGUAUGAGAUGAUCAUGUUUUGUAACCGAAGUUAUCGGCAACUGGCAGGAGCCAUAUGGUUGUCGGUUUAUUGUAUGAAAUGCAAACGCCCUGAAAUUGCUUUACUUUAUCACUAAGCGGUAGUGAUAGUCGUAGAAGCAAUAGAUGGCGUAACGACAAUGAUGCUACGAUGGAGAUCAAGGGGUCGCGCCGGUGACAAUGGUGAUCACGACGGUGCUUCGGAGAUGGAGAUCACAAGCACAAGAUGAUGAUGGCCAUAUCAUAUCACUUAUAUUGAUUGCAUGUGAUGUUUAUCCUUUAUGCAUCUUAUCUUGCUUUGAUUGACGGUAGCAUUUUAAGAUGAUCUCUCACUAAAAUUAUCAAGAAGUGUUCUCCCUGAGUAUGCACCAUUGCGAAAGUUCUUCGUGCUGAGACACCACGUGAUGAUCGGGUGUGAUAGGCUCUAUGUUCAAAUACAACGGGUGCAAAACAGUUGCACACGCGGAAUACUCAGGUUAAACUUGACGAGCCUAGCAUAUAACAGAUAUGGACUCGAAACACGGAGACCGAAAGGUCGAGCGUGAAUCAUAUAGUAGAUAUGAUCAACAUAUUGAUGUUCACCGUUGAAACUACUCCAUCUCACGUGACGAUCGGACAUGGUGUAGUUGAUAUGGAUCACGUAAUCACUUAGAAGAUUAGAGGGAUGUCUAUCUAAGUGGGAGUUCUUUAGUAAUAUGAUUAAUUGAACUUUAAUUUAUCAUGAACUUAGUCCUGGUAGUAUUUUGCAAAUUAUCUUGUAGAUCAAUAGCUUGCAUUGUUGCUUUCAUAUGUUUAUUUUGAUAUGUUCCUAGAGAAAAUUGUGUUGUAAGAUGUUAGUAGCAAUGAUGCGGAUUGGAUCUGUGAUCUGAAGUUUAUCCUCAUUGCUGCACAGAAGAAUUAUGUCCUUAAUGCACCGCUAGGUGACAGACCUAUUGCAGGAGCAGAUGAUGUUAUGAACGUUUGGCUAGCUCAAUAUGAUGACUACUUGAUAGUUUAGUGCACCAUGAUUAACGGCUUAGAAUCGGGACUUCAAAGACGUUUUGAACGUCAUGGACCAUAUGAGAUGUUCCAGGAAUUGAAGUUGAUAUUUCAAGCAAAUACCCGAGUUGAGAGAUAUGAAGUCUCCAACAAGUUCUAUAGCUAAAAUAUGGAGGAGAAUCACUCAACUAGUGAGCAGAUGCUUAGAUUGUCUGGGUACUUCAAUCGCUUGAAUCAAGUGGGAGUUAACCUUCCAGAUAAGAUAGUGAUUGACAUAAUUCUCUAGUCACCAUCACCAAGUUACUAGAACUUCGUGAUGAACUAUAGUAUGCAAGGGAUGACGAAAACGAUUCCCGAGCUCUUCGUGAUGUUAAAAUCGACGAAGGUAGAAAUCAAGAAAGAGCAUCAAGUGUUGAUGAUUGACAAAACCACUAGUUUCAAGAAAAGGGUAAAGGGAAAGAAAGGGAAACUUCAAGUGGAAUGGAAAACAAGUUGUCACUCCUGCGAGGAAGACCAAAGCUGGACCAAAGCCUGAAACUGAGUGCUUACACUGCAAAGGAAAUGGUCACUGGAAGCGGAAAUGCCCUGAAUAUUUGGUGGAUAACAAGGAUGGCAAAGUGAACAAGGGUAUAUUUGAUAUACAUGUUAUUGAUGUGUACCUUACUAGUGUUUAUAGUAACCCCUGAGUUUUUGAUACUUGUUCGGUUGCUAAGAUUAGUAACUCGAAACAGGAGUUACAGAAUAAACAGAAACUAGUUGAGGGUGAAGUGACGAUGUGUGUUGGAAGUGGUUCCAAGAUUGAUAUGAUCAUCAUCGCACACUCCCUAUACUUUCGGGAUUAGUGUUGAACCUAAAUAAAUGUUAUUUGGUGUUUGCGUUGAGCAUGAAUAUGAUUUGAUCAUGUUUAUUGCAAUAUGGUUAUUCAUUUAAAAUCAGAGAAUAAUUGUUGUUCUGUUUAAAUGAAGAAAACCUUUGAUGGUCAUACACCCAAUGAAAAUAGUUUGUUGGAUCUUGAUCGUAGUGAUACACAUAUUCAUAAUAUUGAUGCCAAAAGAUGCAAAGUUGAUAAUGAUAGUGCAACUUAUUUGUAGCACUGCCGUUUGGGUCAUAUCAGUGUAAAGCGCAUGAAGAAACUCCAUAAAGAUGGAUUUUUGGAAUCUCUUGGUUAUGAAUCAUUUGAUGCUUGCGAACCGUGCCUUUUGGGCAAGAUGACUAAAACUCCAUUCUCCAGAACAAUGGAACGAGCUAGUGACUUAUUGGAAAUAAUACAUACCGAUGUAUGCGGUCCAAUGAGUGUUGAUGCUCGUGGCGGGUAUUGUUAUUUUCUGACCUUCACAAGAUGAAUUGAGCAGAUAUGAGUAUAUCUACUUAAUGAAGCACAAGUCUGAAACAUUUGAAAAGUUCAAAUAAUUUCAGAGUAAAGUGGAGAAUCAUCGUAACAAGAAAAUAAAGUUUCUGCAAUUUGAUCGCGGAGACAAAUAUUUGAGUUACGAGUUUGGUUUUCAAUUAAACAAUGUGGAAUAGUUUCACAAACUCAUGCCACCUGGAACACCACAAUGUAAUGGUGUGUCCGAAUGUCGUAACCGCACUUUAUUGGAUAUGGUGCGAUCUAUGAUGUCUCUUACUGAUUUACCACUAUUGUUUUGGGGUUAUGCAUUAGAGACAGCUGCAUUCACGUUAAAAGGGCACCAUCUAAAUCCGUUGAGAUGACACCAUAUGAACUGUGUUUAGCAAGAAACCCAAGUUGUCGUUUCUUAAAAUUUGGGGCUGCGAUGUUUAUGUGAAAAAGUUUCAUCCUGAUAAGCUCAAACCCAAAUUGGAGAAGUGUGUCUUCAUAGAAUACCCAAAGGAAACUGUUGGGUACACCUUCUAUCACAGAUCCGAAGGCAAGAUAUUCGUUGCUAAAAAUGGAUCCUUUCUAGAGAAGGAGUUUCUCUCGAAAGAAGUGAGUGGGAGGAAAGUAGAGCUUGAUAAGGUAAUUUGUACCUUCUCCCGAAUUGGAAAGUAGUUCAUCACAGAAAUCAGUUCCAGUGAUUCCUACACCAAUUAGUGAGGAAGCUAAUGAUGAUGAUCAUGAAACUUCAGAUCAAGUUACUACCAAACUUUGUAGAUCUUCCAGAUUAAGAUCCGCACCAGAAUGGUACGGUAAUCUUAUUCUGGAAAUCAUGUUACUAGACCAUGAUGAGCCUACAAACUAUGAGGAAGCGAUGAUGAGCCCAGAUUCCGCAAAAUGGUUUGAGGCCAUGAAAUCUGAGAUGGGAUCCAUGUAUGAGAACAAAGUGUGGACUUUGGUGGACUUGCCCGAUGAUCGGCAAGCCAUAGAAAAUAAAUGGAUCUUCAAGAAGAAGACAGACGUUGAUAGUAGUGUUACUAUUUACAAAGCUAGACUUGUCGAAAAGGUUUUUGACAAAGUUCAAGGUGUUGAAUACAAUGAGAUUUUCUCACUCGUAUCGAUGCUUAAAAGUCUGUCUGAAUCAUGUUAGCAAUUGCCACAUUUUAUGAAAUUUGGCAAAUGGAUGUCAAAACUACAUUCCUUAAUGGAUUUAUUAAAGAAGAGUUGUAUAUGAUACAACCAGAAGGUUUUGUCAAUCCUAAAGGUGCUAACAAAAUGUGCAAGCUCCAGCGAUCCAUCUAUGGACUGGUGCAAGCAUCUCAGAGUUGGAAUAUACGCUUUGAUAAGUUGAUCAAAGCAUAUAGUUUUAUACAGACUUGCGGUGAAGCCUGUAUUUACAAUAAAGUGAGUGGGAGCACUACCGCCUUUCUGAUAAAUAUAACUGAGUUGAUCAGAAAUGAUGUAGAAUUUCUCUUGAAAGCAUAAAGGAGUAUUUGAAAGGAGUUCUUUAAAAGAAAGACCUCAGUAAAGCUACAUACAUAUUGAGCAUCAAAAUCUAUUGAGAUAGAUCAAGACGCUUGAUUAGUUUCUCAAUAAUUACAUACCUUGAUAAAUUUUUGAAAUAGUUCAAAAUGGAACAGUCAAAGAAGGAGUUCUUGCCUGUGAUGCAAAGGUGUGAAUUUGAGUAAGACUCAAGACCCAACCAUGGCAGAAAAUAGAAAGAGAAUGAAAAGUCAUUCCCUAUGCCUCAGUCAUAAGUUCUAUAAAGUAUGCUAUGCUGUGAACCAGACCUAUUGUAUACCUUGCUCUGAGUUUGACAAAGGAAUACAAUUUUGAUCUAAGAGUAGAUCACUAGACAACGGUCAAGAAUAUCCUUAGUGAGGACUAAGGAGAUGUUUCUCGAUUAUGGAGGUGAUAAAAGAGCCCGUCGUAAAAAGUUACAACGAUGCAAGCUUUUACACUGAUCUAGAUGACUCUAAGUCUCAAUCUGGAUGCAUAUUGAAAGUGGGACCAAUUAGCUAGAGUAGCUCCGUGCAGAGCAUUGUAGACAUAGAAUAUUUGCAAAAUACAUACGACUCUGAAUGUGACAGACCCGUUGACUAAGCUUCUCUCACGAGCAAAACAUGAUCACACCUUAGUACUAUUUUGGGUGUUAAUCACAUAGCAAUGUGAACUAGAUUAUUGACUCUAGUAAACCCUUUGGGUGUUGGUCACAUGACGAUGUGAACUAUGGGUGUUAAUCAUAUACAGAUAUGAAUAUUGGUGUUAAAUCACAUGGCGAUGUGAACUAGAUUAUUGACUCUAGUGCAAGUGGGAGACUAAAGGAAAUAUGCCCUAGAGGCAAUAAUAAAGUUAUUAUUUAUUUCCUUAUAUCAUGAUAAAUGUUUAUUAUUCAUGCUAGAAUUGUAUUAACCGGAAACAUAAUACAUGUGUGAAUACAUAGACAAACAUAGUGUCACUAGUAUCCCUCUACUUGACUAGCUCAUUUAGUAUAUUGCUAUUGCUUUCUUCAUGACUUAUACAUGUUCCUGUAACUAUGAGAUUAUGCAACUCCCGUUUAUCAGAGGAACACUUUGGGUGCUACCAAACGUCACAACGUAACUGGGUGAUUAUAAAGGAGUACUACAGGUGUCUCCGAAGGUACAUGUUGGGUUGGCGUAUUUCGAGAUUAGGUUUUGUCACUCCGAUUGUCGGAGAGGUAUCUCUGGGCCCUCUCGGUAAUGCACAUCACUAUAAGCCUUGCAAGCAAUGUAACUAAUGAGUUAGUUACAGAAUGAUGCAUUACGUAACGAGUAAAGAGACUUGCUGGUAAUGAGAUUGAACUAGGUAUUGGAUACCAACGAUCAAAUCUUGGGCAAGUAACAUAUCGAUGACAAAGGGAACAACGUAUGUUGUUAUGCGGUUUGACCGAUAAAGAUCUUCGUAGAAUAUGUGGGAGCCAAUAUGGGCAUCCAGGUCCCGCUAUUGGUUAUUGACCGGAAACAAUUUCUAGGUUAUGUCUACAUAGUUCUCGAACCCGUAGGGUCCGCACGCUUAACGUUUCGUUGACGAUAUAGUAUUAUAUGAGUUAUGUAUGUUGGUAACCGAAUGUUGUUCGGAGUCCCGGAUGAGAUCAUGGACAUGACGAGGAACUCCGAAAUGGUCCGGAGAUAAAGUUUGAUAUAUGGGAUAAUAGUGUUUGAUAUCCGGAAGGGUUCCGGAAUUCACCGGAAGGGGUUCUGGAUGUUUCCCGAAAUGUUUGGGUACGAGAACACGUUAUUUGGGCCAAAGGGGAACGCCCACAAGGUUUUUGGAAAGUGCAAAAGGAAGUUUUGCGGAGUCCAGGGGCCAGACGCCAGGGUCCCUGGCGUCUGGGUCCAGACACCGGGAACCCUGGCGUAUGGCCCUGGAGUCCGAGAAGGACUCUUGCCUUUUGGGUGAAACCGACUUUGUGGAGGCUUUUACUCCAAGUUUCGACCCCAAGGCUCAACAUAUAAAUAGAGGGGCAGGGCUAGCACCAAGGACACAUCAAGAAACACCAAGCCGUGUGCCGGCAACCCCGUCCCCUCUAGUUUAUCCUCCGUCAUAGUUUCCGUAGUGCUUAAGCGAAGCCCUGCGGAGAUUGUUCUUCACCAAACACCGUCACCACGCCGUCGUGCUGCCGGAACUCAUCUACUACUUCGCCCGUCUUGCUGGAUCGAGAAGGCGAGGACGUCAUCGAGCUGAACGUGUGCAGAACUCGGAGGUGCCGUGCGUUCAGUACUUGGAUCGGUCGGAUCGUGAAGACGUACGACUACAUCAGCCGCGUUGAUAAACGCUUCCGCUUAGCGAUCUUCAAGGGUAUGAAGAUACACUCCCCCUCUCGUUGCUAUGCAUCACCAUGAUCUUGCGUGUGCGUAGGAAUUUUUUUGAAAUUACUACGUUCCCCAACAAUGGAGGUAGUGAUAUUAAAGUCAUGCUAGUUGGGUGAUUAUGAAUUUAAAGAAUGCUUGUGUUGAAUUUAGCAAGUCCCGUAGCAUGCACGUAUGGUUAAAGUUGUGUGACAAAUUUGAAACAUGAAGUGUACCUGGCUUGUGCAUACUUAUGAGUGGCGGUCGGGGACGAGCGAUGAUCUUUUCCUACCAAUCUAUUCCCCUAGGAGCAUGCGCGUAGUACUUGAUUUUUGAUGAAUUCUAAAUUUUUGCAAUAAGUAUAUGAGUUCUUUUGACUAAUGUUGAGUCCACGGGUUAUACGCACUUUUACCUUUCCAUCAUUGCUAGCCUCUUCUGUAUCGUGCAUUACCCUUUCUCACCUUGAGAGUUGGUGCAAACUUCGCCGGUGCAUCCAAACCCCGUGAUACGAUACGCUCUAUCACACAUAAACCUCCUUAUAUCUUCCUCAAAACAGCCACCAUACCUACCUAUUAUGGCAUUUCCAUAGCCAUUCCGAGAUACAUUGCCAUGCAACUUUCCACCGUUCCGUUUAUUAUCAUCAUGACAUACAUUACUUUUGUCAUAUUGCCAUUGCACGAUCAUGUAGUUGACAUCGUAUUUGUGGCAAAGUCACCAUGCAUUAUUUUUCAUACAUGUCACUCUUGAUUCAUUGCACCAUCCCGGUACACCGCCAGAGGCAUUCAUAUAGAGUCAUAUCUUGUUCUAGUUUCGAGUUGUAAUUCAUAUGUUGUAAUCAAUAGAAGUGUGAUGAUCAUCAUUAUUAGAGCAUUGCCCAAAAAAAGGCCAAAAGAAAAAAAAGAAAGGCCCAAAAAAAGGAAAAGAAAACAAGGAAAAAAGGGAAAAAUAAAAGAAAAUAAAUAAAAAGGGCAAUGUUACUAUCUCUUUUUCCACACUUGUGCUUCAAAGUAGCACCUUGUUCUUCAUGUAGUGAGUCUCAUAUUUUUGUGCUUCAAAGUAGCACCAUGUUUUUCAUUUAGUGAGUCUCAUAGUUUGUCUUUUUCUUACUAGUGGGAAUUUUUCAUUAUAGAACUUGGCUUGUAUAUUCCUACGAUGGGCUUCCUCAAAUGCCCUAGGUCUUCGUGAGCAAGCAAGUUGGAUGCACACCCACUAGUUUUCUUUUGUUGAGCAUUCAUUUAUAGCUCUAGUGCAUCCAUUGCAUGGCAAUCCCUACUCCUCAUGUUGACAUCAAUUGAUGGGCAUCUCCAUAGCCCGUUGAUUAUCCUCGUCAAUGUGAGAAUUUCUCCUUUUUUGUCUUCUCCACACAAUCCCCAUCAUCAUAUUCUAUUCCACCCAUAGUGCUAUAUCCAUGACUCAUGCUCAUGUAUUGCGUGAAGGUUGAAAAAGUUUGAGAUUAUUUAAGUAUGAAACAAUUGCUUGGCUUGUUAUCAGGGGUAUAGAAGUUGGGAACAUCUUUGUGUGACAAAAAAGAAGCAUAGCCUAACUAUAUGAAUUUGUAGGGAUGAACUUUCUUUUGCCAUGUUAUUUUGAGAAGACAUGAUUACUUUGAUUAGUAUGCUUGAAGUGUUACUAUUUCUUUUAUCAAUAUGAACUUUUAUUUUGAAUCAUUUGGAUCUGAACAUUCAUGCCACAAUAAAGAAAAUUACAUUGAGAAUUAUGCUAGGUAGCAUUCCACAUCAAAAAUUUCUUUUUAUCAUUACCUACUCGAGGACGAGCAGGAAUUAAGCUUGGGGAUGCUUGAUACGUCUCCAACGUAUCUAUAAUUUUUUAUUGUUCCAUGCUAUUAUAUUACCCCUUUUGGAUGUUUAUGGGCUUUAUUUUACAUAUUUAUAUCAUUUUUGGUACUAACCUACUAACCGGAGGCCCAGCCCGUAUUGCUGUUUUUUUGCCUAUUUCAGUAUUUCGAAGAAAAGGAAUAUCAAAGGGAGUCCAAACGGAAUGAAACCUUCGGGAGCGUGAUUUUUGGAACGAACGUGAUCCAGAGGACUUGGAGUGCAAGCCAAGAAGCAGCCGAGGCUCCCACGAGAUAGGAGGGCGCCCCCCUUGUAGGGCGCGCCCCCUGUCUUGUGGGCCCCUCGGGCGUCCACCGACGUACUUCUUCCUCCUAUAUAUACCUACGUACCCCGAAAACAUCCAGGGAGGAGACGAAACACAAUUUCCACCACCGUAACCUUCUGUAUCCGCGAGAUCUCAUCUUGGAGCCUUCGCCGGCACUCUGCCGGAGGGGGAAUCGACCACGGAGGGCCUCUACAUCAACAUCCUUGCCCCUCCAAUGAGUUGUGAGUAGUUUACCACAGACCUACGGGUCCAUAGUUAUUAGCUAGAUGGCUUAUUUUAUCUUUUUGGAUCUCAAUACAAUGUUCUCCCCCUCUCUUGUGGAAUAUUCGAUGUAAACUCUUUUUGUGGUGCAUUUUUCGAGAUCCGAUGAAUUGUGGGUUUAUGAUCAAGUUUAUCUGUGAAUGAUAUUUGAAUCUUCUCUGAAUUCUUUUAUGUAUGAUUGAGUUGUCUUUACAAGUCUCUUCAAAUUAUCAGUUUGGUUUGGCCUACUAGAUUGAUCUUUCUUGUCAUGGGAGAAGUGUUUAGCUUUGGGUUCAAUCUUGCGGUGUCCUUACCCAGUGACAGAAAGGGUUGCAAGGCAUGUAUUGUAUUGUUGCCAUUGAGGAUAACAAGAUGGGGUUUAUAUCAUAUUGCAUGAGUUUAUCCCUCUACAUCAUGUCAUCUUGCUUAAUGUGUUACUCUGUUCUUAUGAACUUAAUACUCUAGAUGCAGGCAGGAGUCGGUCGAUGUGUGGAGUAAUAGUAGUAGAUGCAGGCAGGAGUCGGUCUACUUGUUAUGGACGUGAUGCCUAUAUACAUGAUCAUGCCUAGAUAAUCUCAUAAUUAUUCGCUUUUCUAUCAAUUGCUCGACAGUAAUUUGUUCACCCACCGUAAUACUUAUGCUAUCCCGAGAGAAGCCUCUAGUGAAACCUAUGGCCCUCGGGUCUAUCUCUUAUCAUAUUUGCUUCCAAUUUACUUUUAUUUGCAUCUUUACUUUUUGCAUCUAUAUUAUAAAAUACCAAAAAUAUAUUUAUCUUAUCAUACUAUCUCUAUCAGAUCUCACUUUUGCAAGUGGCCGUGAAGGGAUUGACAAUCCUUUUAUCGCGUUGGUUGCGAGUUAUCUGUUUGUUUGUGUAGGUGUGUGGGACUUUUGAGGAGCCUCCUACUGGAUUGAUACCUUGGUUCUCAAAAACUGAGGGAAAUACUUAUGCUACUAUUGCUGCAUCACCCUCUCCUCUUCGAGGAAAACCAACGCAAGCUCAAGACGUAGCACAGGCGCAGCGCCGGCGUCCAUGGCGACGCCAUGCACCGGCGACCGUGGCGUUAGGUUUAGCCGGGGCCACGCGCAGAGGAGCGGCGCCUUGGAUCAGCGCGGUGGGGAAGAGAGGGCCGAGCAGCAGCGCCGGCGGCAACCUCCGCUCCUCCUUGCGAUGGGGACGCGGUGGGCCAGAGGGGGUGGGAGCAGUGGCGCCACGGCAACCUCCGCUCCUCCUUGCGGUGGGGACCUCGAGCUCGACGGUGGAGCGGCGGCGCCCCCGACAACAGCGCCUCUUUGAGAGAUGCAAGAGCGAGAGAGGUGGGACGAUGGGGAGGAGAAGAGGUGGGAAGGGGAGGAGGAGAAGAGGUGGGACGGGGAGGAUACCUGGCAGCUGCUUGAGAGAGAGAGACGUGCGGGAGAGGGAAUGGCUAGGGUUCCAGCCGGUGCUCAAGAGAUCCGCGAGAGGUAGAGGAGAACCACCCGAUGAACGGUGCCAAAUCGAGGAGGGCGAGCGUCGGCGGCGGCGGCGGCGAAAGGAGACGAGAGAUAGAGAGAGGGGAACGAGGGCGACGGAUGAGAAGGGAGCCAGCCGACCCCCCACCACAUAGCCGCGCCGCGCCAACCACCGCUCACCAUGCAAGCGGUCUGGACACGGAAGGACGAAAAAGCCCUCGGCGGGGGGAAAUAUUUCCAUGCGGUGGCACGGGAUAUUUACCGCCCGCGCGCGCGGAACUGGACGCACCGGCCGCACCCACGCAGCCACUCGCUGACGGACGCGGCCCUCCAGCCGGGACCCCACAGGUCAGCGAGAUCCGGCCAGGCAUAAGGAGUAACCGAUGCGCGAGCCAGGCGGGAUCAAACGUGCUACAGGAGGGCUACAGGAGGGCGGGAUUGGAUCGAACGGACGAGAUCUGCCGGCGGCUCGAUCCAAUGGCCGAGAACACAUCAAGCAACUCGAUCGGACGGCCAGGAGGCCCAAAUCGCUGAGGAGCCAGGGGUUCCGAGCGGUCUCGUUUUUCUGGAUUUCUCGUGGACAGUAGUACAAGGUUGGGAUGAAAACGAGGAUGAAAUUUAUUGUAUUGUGCCUAAGACUUUUGGGAAUACCUGAUUUUCAUAGACUUAUACUUCUAGGCGGAGGGAGUAGUAUAUGAUACUCCCCAUUAGAGCAUCUCCAACGGGCCCCCAGGAUGCCCCUCACGAGCAUUUUUUGGACGUCGGUGCUUAAUUUUUCUCCCAGCCGGGACCCCAAGAGCUCAAAUAGCGCCGGAUUUGGCCGAAUUUACGCCCGGUGAUCCCAAUCCAGACCCAGAAAGCCGGGAGGCACUUGGGGACGUCGGUGCUCCUUUUUGCAUGCAAAACCCCCACAUGUCGGCCUCUCUCCUCACUCUUUCUCCUUUUUUUCCUGCUAGGCCCACCCGUGCAUGUGGGAAUCUUUCCCUCGCCCAGCCCCGCCUCCUCCGUCCUGCCCCGCCAAGCUCGCCGCCCCGCCUGCUCCACCCCCGCGCUUGCCUCCGUCCCCGCAGUCUUCCCCGCCGGCUUGCACUCGCGCCCUCCUUUGCUCCGCCGGGCUCGCCCCCACCACCAGGUCGCCUCCCCCGCCGCACUCGCCAGGUCGCCUCCCCUACCGCGCUCUGGCUCGCGCUCGCCCCCUCCGCAGGUCGCCUCCCCCUCCGUGCUCUGGCUCGCGCUCGCCCCCUCCGCCAGGUCGCCUCCCCCGCCGCCAGGUCACCCCCUCCGCCGCGCUCCAAGUGGGCAAAUCGCAGACAGCGCGGGCGCCAGGAGCGAGACGGGCGGGCACGGCAAAACGCGGCGGCGGUACCUGGGGGUGGCUCGAGCAGCCGAAGGGGGCCUAGGUGCGGCAGGGGUUGGCGGGGUGGCGGAAGUGGGUGGCCGGCAGGAACUGGACACGGCGAGGCCGGGCCGGCCGUGGCCUGGGGCGCGGCCUGGGCACGUCUUGGGGUGGACAUGGCUGGAAACUUUUUCACCCCAAGCAAAAAAUUCCGCCGGCAACCCCCCAGGCGGCGAAAAAAAUGCCUCCUGGGGGCUCAACGGCCGGAGAUGCCCUUACAACCAGCCUUAGUGAGAAACAAACAAGAUUAGGAUCAUCACUGGAUUUGGGGUCCAAUCAAUGCACACUCCAUUAAGCAAAUUUAUGAGACUGCCACCCGGACGGCAUGGUCGGCCCGGCAUGCACAUGCUCCUGACUGGCCGGUACCCACGACCUAAUUAACUCGCCUGACAUUAGUUGGGGCAUUAACUUGCCUGACAUGAGAAUUUAAUCAAAUCACACCGUUGACACCGGCAUGGAGGACUGUCCAUGCUGCAUGCGUGGACCAUGCACACUAUUUGUUUACUUCAGCGUCGGCUCGCAGUUUGCAACCAAGCUAACGUGUGCAUCGUGUCGAUGGUUGUCUUGCAGAGCGCCCCGGGGAGGAGCACCGGAAUGACGGCGGCGGUGAUCGUGGCGGCGCUCGGCGCGGCGGCGAUGCUCGCCUAGACCGACGAUCCCCGUCGAUCGGCCGUGAUGAUGCGCGCGUCGGCCAUGUCACCCUUUUUCUCUUUUCGUUUUGUGUAUGUAAUUAUUUACGAGGGGCGAUGGGCUUUGGGUCCUUUUCCUUUCCUGUGUGCAUCGCCGCCGGGAUUCUUUUGCUACAUUGUCGGGAUUCUUUUGCUUUGCUUUGUGUUGAGAGAGACGGGAGAGAGGCCAGAGUGUCACAGAUGCUACGUACAAGAGAGAGAUGAGNNNNNNNNNNNNNNNNNNNNNNNNNNNNNNNNNNNNNNNNNNNNNNNNNNNNNNNNNNNNNNNNNNNNNNNNNNNNNNNNNNNNNNNNNNNNNNNNNNNNNNNNNNNNNNNNNNNNNNNNNNNNNNNNNNNNNNNNNNNNNNNNNNNNNNNNNNNNNNNNNNNUUAUAUCAUGUUACCAUUACAUUCCCAUUGCUAUCAUCAUUGUUACAGUUGUGCAAGACGAAGAGUUAGGGCAUUUCUAACCGAUCCCUCAUAACUAAUUAGAGGAGUAAAAUUUCUGUUUUACUCUAACCGGCACCUAGCCGAUCCUUUCUCCGCCAUAAGGGAGUACAAUUUUACUCCUCUCCCCAAUCUUCUCCCUAAAUCUUCGGAGAAAUGCAUGUGGAGAGAUAAGUGCAAGCCCUCCGAUGAAAUGCAUUGCGGUUGUUCGAGUCUUGGCAUAUGGGUGUUCGGCCGAUGCAAUCGAUGACUAUGUCCGCAUUGGUGGAGACACAAUCUUGGAGUUUGUUCAAAGAUUCAUUCUGUCUUUGGCCCGGGGUACUUCAGAGCACCAACCGAGGAAGGCACCCAGAGGCUAAUGACUGAGACCGAGGCAAGAGGAUGCCCAGGGAUGCUUGGAUUAGUUGAUUGUAUGCACUGUACAUGAAAGAAUUGUCCUGUAGGGUGGAAGGGUCAGUACAAAGGCCACUGCAACGAUCCAACGAUCAUUCAUGAGGUAGUUGCAUCGAAGGAUCUUUGGAUAUGACAUUCAUUCUUUAGUUUGUCUGGCUCUCACAAUGACUUGAAUGUGUUGUCGAGAUCAACUCCAUUUUCUAGGCUUAUUAAAGGUGAAGCUCCUACUUGCAACUACUCGGUCAAUCGGCACACCUACUCGAUGGGUUACAACCUUGCGGAUGGCACCAUGGGCCACCUUGGUCAAAACAAUUCCGCGUCCAAAAGGUAAAAAAACAUUCACUUUGCCCAAUGUCAAGAAGCUGCUAGGAAAGAUGUUGAGAGAGCCUUCGGUGUGCUUCAGAAGUGCUUUGCAAUUGUUCGUGACCCUGUCAAAUACUGGAACUCCAAGGUUCUGUGGCGGAUCAUGACUUGUUACAUCAUAUUGCAUAACAUGAUCAUUGAAGACGAGAGAUAUGCCUGAGACUUUCGCUACAUCACCAACGGGACUCCGGUUGAGCCAGAGUAUGAUACGAACAGGAUCUUGGCAUUCCUUGAGGAGCAUCGCAAGAUCGAGAACCAUCAAGUUUAUUCUCGGCUCCAACAAGAUCUAGUUGAGCAUCACUGGCAGCCUCUUAGCGAGUCCUAAUUGUUCUAUCACCUGCUACAUUUGAACCAUUCGGCGUGUUUAAAUUUGAAUAAUUCGAAUUAUAAACUUUGAAUUCGGUUCAUAAACUAUAUUGGUGAUUUGCGUGAACAUUUAAAUUUAUGUUUACUUUCUAUAUAUGUGCUAAUAUGUAGUUGCAAUUUAUAUUAAAAAUUUAAAGUUUGGAAAAACAAAAUUUUACCCUGUUAAAUAUACGGCAAUGAUAAAUCCCGAACGUUCGAAUUUUAAGCAUGGCAACCCGAACGUUUUUUAUGGCAACUUUAGUUCACGUGAGGUUGGCAAACAUCGCAUUUUUCUGACAAAAAAACGAACUGAGACAAAGUUGCCAUGUCUUAACAACUAAAGUUGCCACCUCGCGUCAACUAAAGUUGCCAUGUAAAAACGUUCGGGAUGAAAUGCUUAAAAUUCGAACAUUCGAAUUUUAUCAGGGUCCUAAAUAUAAGAGAUCGGCUAGGUCCUGCCAAAACUUAGUGAAAUAUACACACUCCACUAAGCUUUUACUCCACCGGAUACUUCACUAUUUUUAAGGAAUCGAUUAGAGUUGCCCUUAGUGUGUUAGCAACACGUGCUGAUGUUUGGCACCUUCACAUGGCUGCGAAGCAGAAACAUUCUUUUGGUUUUGGCUAUGGCUAUGGCAUUGCCAUCUUUUGGGUUCUCGUCUUUUGCCUGUUGAUCGGGAAAGUAAAGGGAAAGCUGGCCGGGUUGAUGCCUUUUGCCAUGAUUAAACACGGCCGACCACCAAACUAACCUCAAACUUUGGAGGCUCAUCACUUAGCUUUUUUUAACACAAACAUAAUCGCUCAUAUGUACGCACGCAUCCUUAUGAGCAUCUCCGAGACUGAGCCGGCAUGUCAUCUUGAAAUUUUACGAAGUCAUCAUAAGCGUCUCGUAGUCGACGGGAACGUCUCCUCCCAUGAAAGCGUGUCGUCGGAAAUCCUGAAAUAAUUCAGGAUAAAUGUGAGCACCAGGAUUAAUUUGAACCCUGAUAGGCCGAGGAUACCAUUGCCCUGCUAAUCAUCCAACCAUAGGUUGAUUCGCGCUAGUCACUUAAGUGAAAACAAGUGUGCAAACAUUUUGAUCAGUAUUUUUUUUCUUUCAAACCGGGAUACUCCUCUUUUCAUUAAUUUGCAUAACGGAAAUACAAAAUUCCAGUAACCAACCACAGAAAAGAUGGCACAGGAAAGACAAGCAGCAAGUUCGGGGCAACCGCGCCCCAGGAAACAUUUUGAUCAAAUGACAAACGGGGUUCAUUUUGUAAAAGUAAGUUCAUACUCCCUUCCUUUCAAAAUAAGUGUUUUGAGCUUAGUAUAAAUUUGUACUAGAGCUAGUAUAAAGUUGAGACAUUUAUUUUGAAACGGAGGAAGUACUAUUAUAGUGAUUGCAUAGUGAAGCUACCCGUCCACAAAUUAUAAUAACACUAAGAAAGAAAAAAAAAAGCUAACUAUCUGUGUUAGCUUGCCUAACCACAAUCACCACCGGCAAGAGCAACCGUCAAAAUGGGGCCGUCACGGCAACAAAAUAUGCUAAUCGUCAUCGUGCAUCGUCUGCAUCCGCGCCCAUGACAAUGAAUGCCUACCGUAAGGACGGUAGAUUUCGACAGUUCUCCUGAUUGGCGUCUCAGAUACGGUACGCUGUGCGUGCUUGGUUGGGUUGGUCACUCGUCGGGAUCGUGCGUACGUACGACGGCAGAGUCCAUGCAUCUGCUGUGCCGCUUCCAUGCAUGCAGUCCGCCCGUCGUCGGUCAUGCAUGCAUGGCACUUCUAUUUCUAUAUACUUCCUCCGUUUCUAAAUAUUUGUCUUUCUAGAUAUUUCAAAUGACUACUACAUACGGAUGUAUGUAGACAUAUUUUAGAGUAUAGAUUCACUCACUUUGCUCCGUAUGUAGUUAAUUGUUGAAAUGCCUAGAAAGACAAGUAUUUAGGAACGGAGGGAGUAUUUCAUCGACGAAACUGUCGUUUAUUUUCUAGUUAGCAUCAAAAGGAUGGAUGCCAUAGCCUAAGAGCAUGGUUAAUAAUAGGACGCUUAUAACGUCCACACGUGUGGGCGUUAAAAGGUCUGGCCACAAACCGUGUGUGGUGUGAGCAGGAGGCAGCCCACACGGAUUGUGUGUGGGCGGACAUUAGAAUUGCCCACACGUGUGGGCGCGGCUACUUCGUGCUACACUCCCAACAAGUACUACUCAUCUCCACCCCGCGCGUGUGGCAUGAAGCAAAAAUGCCCACACGUCCUAGCGCAGCUACGUUAGGUACCCCGCGAGAUGACGAUUUAGUUGCCAUCCUAGUUGGCAGAUAUAGUUAUCCGGGAUGGCAAGUGUAGUUGUAAAAGCAUGACAACUCUAUAUGUUUUGAUUAACUAUAGUUGACAUGUCUAAUUUAUGGUAGUUGCCGCGUGUAAUCAAAUCGUAGUUGCCGUGUGUGAUUAACUACUUGCCACACAUAGGCAAACAGUAGUUGCCAUGUGUGUUUACCUAGUUGCCAUGUGUGGUCCAACCAUAGUUGCCAUGUAUAGUUAAUCGCAGUUGCCAUGUGUGUUUAUCUGGUUGCCACGUACGCGCAACUGCAGUUGCCGUCUAGCAAAAAAAUCACAGUUGCCACGUUCGCGUAACUGCAGUUGUCAUCCACAAUGUAGGAGUGUCGUGUGGGCUAAAAUCAAUUCACCCACACGCGCAUGGACUAGGUGGUGGCUGUGUGGAAAGAAAAUAGUUCGUCCACACAGCGCAGCUGGCAACAGCGUGAUGCGGGUGUGUCACUAGUAGAAAAGGGGGCAAAUGUCCAGGCCGGGUCAGCCCAUUAGUCCCGGUUCAGUCCAGAACCGGGACCCAUGGGGGCAUUGGACCUGGUUCGUGAGCCCCGGGGGCCGGGCGGGCCACGUGGGCCAUUGGUCCCGGUUCGUCUGGACCUUUUGGUCCCGGUUGGUGGGACGAACCGGGACCAAUGGGCCUCGCUCCUGGCCCACCACCAUUGGUCCCGGUUGAUGGCAUGAACCGGGGCGAAAGGGUGACCUUUAGUCCCGGUUCGUGCCAUGAACCGGGACCAAUGAGUUGCCUAUAUAUACCCCUCGCCCGCGAGCAGAGCACUCCCACUACUUUGUUUAUCCUGGUCGGUGAGGGGAGAGCUUUGUGGUGCUCUAGCUCACCUCCUAUGCACACGAGGUGUUCGAUGGAAUGCCCGAGCCACACUACUUAAGCUUUCUCCUCUCCAAGCUCGACCUCCAAGCUCCAUUUUCCUCAAUAUUUGUCUAGGUUUAGCGGUCCGUCACGUCCCGUCCCCGUCUUCACCGUCGUCAAUCGCCCGCGCCGAUCUCGUCGCCGGCACCAUCGUGGUGAGCCUCUUGUUCUUAUCUUCUUUCUGAAAGGAAAAAAAUUCUUACUUGUAUGUUUAUAUAGAUACUUGUAUAAUUUUCUUACUUUUAUUAUUGCAUCUUAUAUAGUGCAUGGUUUUGAUAUCCGCCCCCGUCGGCCCUCGUCCUGUCUAUGAUUCGGAUGUGGUAUAUAUUAUCUUUUCAUAACUAUUGGUUCAUUUAUUGUUUAUGACAAUUAUGCCGACCAACGUGACAUAGAUUUUAUUUAUCUAGGAGGUUGUUGAACCGGAAAUUCCAACCGACCCUAUUGUCGAGAGGUUAAAUUUAGUUGAAGAAGAAAACAAUUUCUUGAAGGAAAAAAUAAGAAAAAUUGAGGAGGAGAAGAUGAUAUUGGAGUUGCAUGUUGCGGAUGUCGUCGAUGAUCACAAGAUCAAGAUGAAUGCAAUGCGCUUGAAGAUUAGAAAGAUUAGAAAAUAUGACAUUCAUACCGAGGCUUGGUAUCAUUAUGUCGUUGGAUCAGUUGUUACCUUGGUUGCGAUUAUGAUCGCAUUUGUUUUCCCAUUGAAAUGUUUUACAUAGUUUCAAUGUAUGGUUUAAUUAAUUUAGAUGCUCUUUAAAGCUUUAUGUUGUUAGAUGAGAACUAUGUAUGUACUUUGGUUUUAAUGUGAUGAUGAACUUCUAUUAAUUUGGUCACUUAAUUAUAUAUUCAUGAUGUUCUGUAAUGAUUUUUGACACACUUAAUUAUAUAUAAUGCACGCAGAUGAACCGGCAAUGGAUGUACGGUGACAGACAAACCUCCAAGUACAUUAAGGGCGUGCAUGAUUUUCUCGAAGUGGCUGAGGCAAACAAGCAGAAUGGUUUUAUGUGUUGUCAAUGCCCUAUAUGUUGGAAUACGAAGUCUUACUCUGACCAAAAAAUCCUACACACCCACCUGCUUUACAAGGGUUUCAUGCCACACUAUAAUGUUUGGACGAGGCACGGAGAAAUAGGGGUUAUGAUGGAACACGGUGAAGAAGAAGAGUACGAUGACAACUAUGUGCCCCCUGAAUACGAUGAUGCUACUGAACAUCAAGAGGAACCAGACAAUGUGCACGAUGAUGCUGCAACGGGCGAAGCUGCUGAAGAUCAAGAGGAACCAGACGAUGUGCCCGAUGAUGAUGAUCUCCACCGGGUCAUUAUCGAUGCAAGGACGCAAUGCGAAAGUCAAAAGGAGAAGCUGAAGUUCAAUCGCAUGUUAGAGGAUCACAAAAAAGGGUUGUACCCUAAUUGCGAAGAUGGCAACACAAAGCUCGGUACCGUACUAGAAUUGCUGCAGUGGAAGGCAGAGAAUGCUGUGCCUGACAAAGGAUUUGAGAAGCUACUGGAAAUAUUGAAGAAGAAGCUUCCAAAGGAUAAUGAAUUGCCCGACAGUACAUACACAGCAAAGAAGGUCGUAUUCCCUCUAGGAUUGGAGGUGCAGAAGAUACAUGCAUGCCCUAAUGACUGCAUCCUCUACCGCGGUGCGUACAAGGAUCUGAAUGCAUGCCCGGUAUGUGGUGCAUUACGGUAUAAGAUCAGACGAGAUGACCCUGAUGAUGUUGACGGCGAGCCCCCCAGGAAGAGGGUUCCUGUAAAGGUGAUGUGGUAUGCUCCUAUAAUACCACGGUUGAAACGUCUGUUCAGAAACGGAGAGCAUGCCAAAUUGAUGCGAUGGCACAGUGAGGACCGUAAGAAAGACGGGAAGUUGAGAGCACCCGCUGACGGGUCGCAGUGGAGAAAAAUCGAGAGAAAGUACUGGGAUGAGUUUGCAAGUAACCCAUGGAACGUAUGUUUUGCUUUAAGCGCGGAUGACAUUAAUCCUUUCGGGGAGCAGAGCAGCAAUCACAGCACCUGGCUCGUGACCCUAUGUAUCUAUAACCUUCUUGCUUGGAUGUGCAUGAAGCGGAAGUUCAUUAUGAUGCCAGUUCUCAUCCAAGGCCCUAAGCAACCCGACAAUGACAUUGAAAACAAAAAAAAAGUGUUUUCAAAUUUGAAAAGUAAUGGCACUAACAGAAAGUUUAUAAUUUUUCUAAAACUAAAAGCAAAAAAGAAUUAAAAAAUAAACCACAAAACAAAAGAAAAUAAAUAAUGCAGAAAACAAAACAAAAGAAUAGAAAAAAAUAAAAAUAGCAACAGUAAGUAUUUUGUUGUAAGUAGAAACAAAAUAAAAUAAAUAAAGCAAGAAAGAAAAUNNNNNNNNNNNNNNNNNNNNNNNNNNNNNNNNNNNNNNNNNNNNNNNNNNNNNNNNNNNNNNNNNNNNNNNNNNNNNNNNNNNNNNNNNNNNNNNNNNNNNNNNNNNNNNNNNNNNNNNNNNNNNNNNNNNNNNNNNNNNNNNNNNNNNNNNNNNNNNNNNNNNNNNNNNNNNNNNNNNNNNNNNNNNNNNNNNNNNNNNNNNNNNNNNNNNNNNNNNNNNNNNNNNNNNNNNNNNNNNNNNNNNNNNNNNNNNNNNNNNNNNNNNNNNNNNNNNNNNNNNNNNNNNNNNNNNNNNNNNNNNNNNNNNNNNNNNNNNNNNNNNNNNNNNNNNNNNNNNNNNNNNNNNNNNNNNNNNNNNNNNNNNNNNNNNNNNNNNNNNNNNNNNNNNNNNNNNNNNNNNNNNNNNNNNNNNNNNNNNNNNNNNNNNNNNNNNNNNNNNNNNNNNNNNNNNNNNNNNNNNNNAAAGAUUAUAAUUAUCUGAGCUAAAAGAAAAAAAAAGAAAAAAA
rnacentral:lncRNA from 1 species